rnacentral:lncRNA from 1 species
UUUUUUUUUUUGUUUAAAAGUCAGCAAUUUGAGAAAGUUGUUAGUUUUAAUGAGAAACCUUACCCUAAACUUGAACUUAAAUAUUUGCCUGCUCAUUUGAAGUAUGUUUUUCUUGGGGCUAAUGAGACUUAUUCUGUUAUUAUUUCUUCUUCAUUGAGCCAAAGUGAAAUUGAUAAGUUGUUGCAAGUUCUUCAUGAUCACAAGACUUCUAUUGCCUAGACUAUCUCUACUACUAAACGAAUUAGUCCGUCUGUGGUUAUGCACAAGAUUUUGAUGAAGGAUAAUGCUAGACCAUCAAUAGAAAAUCAGAGGAGACUCAAUCUGAAUAUGGAGGUAGUUCGAGUAGAGGUAAUUAAAUUAUUUGAUGCAGAAAUUAUUUAUUCUAUUUCUGACAGUCCUUGGAUGAGUUCUGUGCAAGUAGUGCCAAAGAAAAGGGUAUAAUAGUGGUAAGGAAUGACAAGGAUGAAUUAACCCCCACACAUACUAUUAUUGUUUGACUAGUGUGUAUUAAUUAUAGAAAAUUGAAUGCUACCACUAGGAAGGAUCACUUCCCAUUACACUUUGUGGAUCAGGUUUUGGAUUGAUUGGAAGGGCAAAAGUUCUAUUGUUUCUUGAAUAGUUAUUCAAGAUACAGUGAGAUUGCAAUUGCUCUAGAGGACUAGGAGAAAAUCACCUUCACAUGCCUAUUUGUUAUGUUUCCAUUUAGAAGAAUGCCUUUUGGACACUGUAAUGCAUCAGCAACCUGUCAAAGUCACAUGAUGGCUAUUUUUUCAUACAUGGUGGAAGACAUAAUUGAUAUUUUUAUCGAUAAUUUUUCUAUUUGUGGUCCUUCUUGUGAUGCUUAUUUGAAUAAUUUGAAUCAUGUCUUGGAAAGAUGCCAAAAGUUUAACUUGGUGUUAAAUUCAAAAAAAUGUCAUCUUAUGGUAUGUGAGAGAAUAGUGUUGGGUCAUAAAAUCUCUAGGAGUAUAGAAGUUGACAAAUCCAAGGUUGAGGUGAUUGAAAGAUUACCUCCACCUAACUCUAUUUGGACAAUUAGAAGUUUUCUUGAACAUGUUGACUUUUAUAGGAGAUUUAUUAAAGAUAUUUUCAAGAUAACUAAACCUCUUUGUGACUUUUUUUAAGAUGCGGCUUUUGUCUGUGAUGAUACUUGCUUAGAUGCUUUUAAUAAAAUAAAAAAAGAGCUCACGUCUGCACCAAUAAUAAUUGCACCUGAUUGGAAUCUUUCUUUUGAAUUAAUGUGUGAUGCUAGUGAUUAUACUGUAGUAGUUAUUUUAGGUAGAAAAAGAUAAGAAACUGCAUGUUAUACACUGUGCUAGUAUAGUUCUUAAUGAUACUCAAGUAAAUUAUGCUAGUACUAAGAAAGAAUUACUAGCUAUUGUGUUUGCAUUUGAAAAGUUUUGUUCUUAUCUUGUGAGGUCGAAAGUGACUGUCUAUAUUGACUAUUCUUCUAUUAAGUAUUUAUUGUCUAAGAAGGGUGCCAAAUCUAGAUUAAUCCGUUGAAUUUUACAAUUGCAAAAGUUUGACUUGGAGAUAAAAUAUAAAAAAGGGUUCUGAGAAUUUGGUAGCAAACUACUUAUCGAUAUUGGAACAAGUGGAUCCAUAUAAUAACACGCCAAUUAAGAACCAGUUUCUAGAUGAGCAAUUAUAGGUUGUUCAAAGUGUUGAGAUACCAUGAUUUGUUUAUUAUAUCAAUUUUCUUGUUUCUAAUAUUGUGCCACCUGACUUGAUUUCUCAGCAAAAGAAGAAAUUCUUUGCUGAAAUGAAUCAUUAUUUUUGGAAAGAUCCCUCUCUUAUUCCAGAGGUGUGCUAACGGAGUAUUAGGAAGAUAUGUACUGAAAGAGGAAAUGAGGUCUAUCUUGAAGCACUGUCAUGCAUCUCUGUACGGUGAUCAUCAUGGGUCAGAAAGGACUGCAACUAAGGUGCUACAAUCAGGAUUUUUUUUUUGGCUAACUUUAUUUAAGAAUGCAAGGAACUUGGUGAUUGCAUGUGAUAAGUGUCAAUGAAUGGGUAACAUUGAUCAUCAACAAGAGAUGCUUCAGACGGGUAUUUUGAAAGUUGAGCUAUUUGAUAUCUAAGGUUUGAAUUUUAUGGGACCGUUUCUACUAUUAUAUGAUAAUUUGUACAUCUUAGUUACGAUGGACUAUCUUAUUAAAUAGGUAGAAGCCGUUGCCUUAUCGGACAACAAGAGUCAAAGUAUAGUAAAUUUUGUCAAGAAAAAUAUUUUUACACGCUUUAGGUUGCCCCAUACAAUGUUAAGUGAUUAUGGUGUUCAUUUUGAUAAUAAUCAAUUUUAAGCAUUAUUGACUAAAUAUUGGGCAAAAUUUCAUACUAGUACUACUUAUUAUCCCCAGACUAGUGGUCAAGCAAAAGUGUCCAAUCCAGAGAUUUAUCAGAUUUUGAAAAGAUUGUGAAUUCGUCUGGAAAGAAUUGGACUGUUAAGUUUGAUGAUCGUUAUGGGCAUACUGGACUGCAUCUAAGACAUCUUUGGGUAUAUUUUCAUACUUAUUAAUCUAUAAAAAGUCGUGCAAUUUGCUAGUGAAAUUGAAGCAUUGGGGUUAUUGGGCGGUUAAAAUUUUAAAUUUUAAUCUUAAAAGUGUUCGUGAGAAAAGAUUGCUCCAUUUGAACGAGUUGACUGAAAUUCGACGUGAGUCGUAUAAGAAUGCUCGUAUUUAUAAGGAAAGGGCGAAGGCAUGGCAUGGUAAGCACAUUGUUACGAGGAAAUUUCAAGUGGAAAAAAGGUCAUGUUGUUCACCUCAAAAUAUUUCCUGGCAAGUUUAAGUCUCAAUAGUUCGGUCCGUUUAUUGUUACUCAAGUUGGUCCUUAUGGUGGUAUUGAAAUUCAAAGGAAUGGACAUGAGCCGUUUGUAGUUAAUGGCCAAUGUUUGAAACUGUAUCUUGAGACUCAUUAAGUGGGAAUGGUGGAGCUCGAGUGUUUCUCAAAAUAAGUGAUUUGGUUGUCUGGUUUAAAUUGUUAAAUUUAGUGCUCACGAGCAUAAGUCCGGCGUCGAACUUCAUGGAGACUUAAAAAAAUAAGUUUCUUCUUCUUUCUUUCCUUAUUUUUCUUCUUGUUCUCUUCCAACAAAAUUCCUCUUCUCUCCCAACGAAACUCUUUAUUUUUCUUCCUUCAUAGAUUUGUUGAUGGUUCAUGGUAGGUUUGGUGGGUUUUGAAGGCAAAUAAGGAACGCAAGCCCUAACUCUACAAAUCUUCAUGAUUAGAGCGAAUUUCCAUUUGCUAUCAAAGGGUUUUUGCUUUUUGUGGUGGCAAGAGUAAGUUUUGAGUUCGUUUUUGUGAUUCAAAUGGUUCAAAUUGGUCAAAUUCAUGGGUUGCACUUAGUGUGUGUGUUCUUGAUGUACUAGGUGUUAAAUUUUUGAAACUUUUUGGUGGAAUUUUAUGUUUGAUUUCUAGCAUACUCUAACUCCAAUUCACCACUUUCGACAUGUUUCUUGACUCAUGUUGGUGAUUAUUUAGGCAUGUUAAGGAUUUGGAAAUUGAAGCUAUUUUACUUCUAUGUGGUGUAAUUUUGGUGAUUGGGUGAUUAAAGCUUGCUGCAAAUUUGGGAUUUGGCGCAUUAGCUGUGACUUGGUGCAUCCAUUUUAUUAAAAUUGUGACUUAUUAGUGAUACAUUGGUUGUCCCUUAUUUGGUAAUUUGGUGAGAUAUUGUUCUAAUUUUAUUUAAAUUGUGGUGAUUGUGGGAAGUAAUUAGUUGUGUGUUAAGAUGCCUCCACGUACUAGAGUACCCAAUGAUAUAUCUACUUCUUGAAAAGGGGUUGAGGUGCAUCUGAUAGGGCUAGUAACAGUCAGCCACCAACUUUUGAUGCUCUUAGAUUUUCUAAUGUUGACAAUAUUGUUUCGUAUGAGGCUCGAUUUACAAAUUGAGUUUUGGAUGAAACUAACUUAGACCCAAUGUUUGAUGAUGAUUAUAAUUUUCAAGGGUUGUUUGCUAAUGUGGGUUGGCAGAUGAUGUUGAAUUUGCCUAAGGUUUAUUAUCCGAUUCUAGUUCGUCAGUUUUAUACCAAUAUCCAAAAUAAAGGAGUGAUAAGCACCGAAUUUUUGAUGAGUUAUGAUAUUAAGGGAAGGCCUAUUAUGCUCACUAGAGCCAAAUCAUCUACUCUCCUUGGUGCUACAAAUGAGGGACAAGUUUUUGAUCAUGGUAAGUACACAGUAACGGGUGAUCCCAACUAGGUGUUUGAGGUGAUUGUUCAUAAGUUUUGUCAUAGUCUAUCUACUUCUAAGGAGGUAGUGGAUCUUGAGACUAGCAAUGUUCGGUCCGAGGCUACAUAUAUUCCUAUUAAGUCUUUGAUGUUGAGGCAUAGUUUAUUAGUUUAUUUGCUUAAUCAUAACAUUUUGCCAACUUCUAGUAGUAAGAAAGAGAUGCAUGUAUCGGAUAUGUAUUUCCUUGAUAAGCUCUAGAAUGGCUUAGGAAACAUUGCUGGUAUCCCUCUCACCACUAUUAUUUUGGGAACUAUGACUCGUACAGUUGGCUAUAAGAGUAAUAUGAAGGUGUUUCCCUAUGGUCAUCUCCUUACCUUGAUUUUUCAGCAUUUUGGUGUAGAUGUAGCUAGUGAGGAGUCUAAGAUAGCAGUUACUAUGGUCAACAGGUCUACCAUCAAUCGCAUUGCAUACAAGCCUACUGAGAAUUCUAGUGAGGAUGAGGAAGAGGAAAUGAGGCACAUGGAGCAGGGAACGGGUUCAUCCCAAUAGAUGAUUGGACCUUUUGUUCAUGAUUUGUUACAAACCGUGUUAAUUGAAGUCUUGGGUACCCAUGAAACUAUGAAGCACUUGGAGGGUCGAGGGACGGGGAUAGUGUGCUGUUGACAAGCAUUGAAGAGGGGCUGGUUUCUUAGCAUCCAUAUCGAUAAGGUCCCCCUUGAUAUCUGUCUUUCUUUUUGUUAUUUUCAUCUUUCUUGUUUUGGAGUUUGGAGGUGGUGUGGUAGUUUAGGUUUUAUUUUUAUGUUAAAUGCAGAAAACCCCCAUGAACUUUCAUAACUAUUGCACAAUACACCCCGAAGUAUGUUUAUUGGCACUUUGCACCCAAGCUCCAUUGAAAUGUAACAGAUCUUUACACACCGUUUACUUUAUCAAUGAAGUGACAACUUUAUCCUCAAAUAAUAACUGAAUAGACAAAAGCACCCUUCAUCCCAGUUGGCCAUUAUGUCGCCUGGAGAGCUGUUCAAGGCAAAAGAAAAGUCUGAACUCCUUUUCACUGCCAAAAUUUUUGAGUUUGCCAAAAUUUUUUGCUUUUUUCUCGCGAUCGAGGAAGAAGCAAAGAGGAAUCACUACAAAGGGUGACUAGAAGUGAGAAAAUAACGGCUUGAAGAAUCUAAAACAAGGUGGAAUCUUUAUAAAAACUCAACAAAUCAAGUAAUAUGCAAAGCCCUACUUUUUUUUUCUUUAAUCGACUUUUUACCCUUUUUUUGUGUGGAUCUGGAUGUCCGAACUUGUAGUUUGGGUUUUAGAAUGUGUAUUUCUAUGGUUGUGAUGGAAUAUAUUGCAUGCUGUCCUUAUAUUGGUUUAAUGUCGGGCCGAUUACGACCAAAUUUUAUUAUUUGUCCUUUUCAUGGAAUAAUUGGAUUAUUUGUAGGUUUCUUUACAAGAUUCUAUUGUAUUGAACAUGGGUCGGUGUCUAAUAGUGUGUUUUAAGCUUAUUAUUGCUAAUUACAGUAUGUUAACUAAGUUCAAUAAAGGUGUUUUUGUGAUCCCUCACAUGUGUUAUUGUUUUUUUUGUCGCAUACCAGUGUGGUCAUCACAAUUGAAAAAUAUGUUCUCAUUCGAAGUCCAUUAUGGGGGCCAUUUUGUACAUAAUCCAGGGCUAACAUAUGUGGGUGGGAAUAUAAAAUAUUUCAGUGAUAUUGACCCAGAUUAUAUAUCAAGAUUUGAGAUUUAGGGGAUGCCAAAAGGACUACAACUGCCCAUAAACACUCAAAUUUGCUAUAAAAUGCCAAAUGACAAAUUUGCCUUACUAAAUAGUGAAGCAGUAGUCAUGAAAAUGUUUGAGAUGUUUAGGGAUGAACUAUACAAUCAUAUAUAUGUUGGAGAGGUGAAUAAUAGGGAUGUAGAAAAUAAUAAUAGGGAUGAGCAAGAUGCUAAUGGAGUUGUAGGUAAUGGCGAUAUGAAUGCUAAUCGGGGAGCUGGGAAUGGUAAUGGUAGUUUAGGGGUUGGUGGGGUGAAUGAUAAUCUUGAACCAGAGGUUGACCAUGAUGUGAAUGAAUCAGAAACAGAAUCUGAUGAAUCAUACAUACUUGAAAGUGAGCAAUCUUCUGAAUAUGACUCAAAUUUUGAUUAUUUCUAAGAUAGGAACACAUUAAAUGAUGGCUGUGAUAUUGGUGAUGAUAUUACUAAGGUAACUAGUGGGUUGGAUAACAAUAUUAAUUUAGGAUAGUGCCAACAAUAUGCUGAGUUAAUUAGUGAUGAAUAUAGCGCUUUUGUUGAGGCUAGAAAAGAGGGUAACUUUGUUGAGCAUGAAAAUAUUGUUGAUGCUGAAGUACUAGAAACUGCCAUUCAGUCCUCUCAUGAUGAAAAUAGAGAACAAUUUCCUGAGUUUAAUGAGAAAAGAGACAUGGUUGAUCAUAAAAUUGGGUAGGCCUCCUUUUCACAACCAUACGUGUUCAGGAAGGCAAUUCGGAUUUAUUCCAUCCUUAGAGGUUUUGAGUUGAAAUUAAAAAAAAAAUGAUAGUAACAAAAUCAUUGCAAUAUGUAAAAGAGAAUGUGGUUGGAGGAUAAAUACAAGUUAUUAUAGGAAAACUAAAGCAUUGUAGGUUAAUAGCAUAAAGGGCACCCCUCAUAGGUGUCCCCGGUCUUAUAAGAAUGUUAGUAAAAAUUCUAUAUGGUUGGCUGAAUGAAGAAAAAGGAAUUGCAUGAUAAUCUUGACUAGAGACUUAAGGGAUUUCGAAGGAUAAUUAUAAGAAAGUUCAAAUUAAGAGUUUCUAGAUGGAAGAUGUAUAGGCCUAAGAAAUAUGCACUUUCUGAAAUGUUAGAAGAUCAUAAGAAAUAAUAUUCCAGACUUAGAAAUUAUUGUGCAACCAUUAUGCUGAAAAAUCUUGGUUCUGCAGCCUAUAUAAUGACAGAAGUUGUUCCUGCCUUUGUCAAUCCUAUAUUUCAGAGAAUGUUUGUUAUGUUUGGGGCACAAAAUGAUGGAUUUAUCAGUGGCUACAGACCAGUUAUAGGUUUAAAUGUUUGCCAUCUCAAAGGAAGAUUUGGGGGAUAUCUAAUGCAUGCUAUUGUGAGGGAUAAAAAUAAUCAAAUGUAUCAUAUAGCAAUGGCAUGUGUGGAAUCUGAAUGUAAGGAAAGUUGGCAUUGGUUUCUAGAACUUCUGGCUACUCAUAUUGGAUCACCAGUUGACAUGAAUUGGAUGUUCAUUUCUAAUAGACAAAAGGUAAACUUGCCAUUUAUUUUUUCCAACAUUCAUAUAUUAGUUUAUUACUGUUGUACAAUUAAACCCAAUUUGAUUAAUGGUGUUGCUGUUUUAUAAGGUCUGGUAGAGACAUUUGAUGUGUUGUUUCCUAGGGUGAAACAUAGGUUCUGUGUUAGGUGUGACGACCCCACUUCCCCCUAACGCGAACCAAAGGGUUGGCGGUCUGCCCAACUCUCGCCAGGACUCACGCAAGCAUUCUAACCCAAAUCCUUUCAAAUAACAACCUAAACUAUUACAAAACAAUUUUCCCCGAAUAAUAUCAUCACUAAAACUACAUUAACUUCAUAGAUAGCAGUGAUAUAAAUAGCCAAUCGAGGCUCUUAAACGUCCCACGUGCUACGUACUAAGGUAUAAAGUCGUACCAAUCCGGAUAGAUAAAUACAUAAAUCCCUAAUAUAACCUUACAAGCCAAGCAAUCAAAUUAGGGUUUACACAUUUUCCAGUUUCAAGUGGCAAUCCAAAAUGAAAGUACAUUAUCCCAAAUAACACAUUACAGCCCACAGAAUAAGUCAUAGUAUUCAAAUACAUUCCAAAAGAGAAAACAUAAGUAAGCAUCCAAGCUUUCAGUUUCCAGAACCUGUUAAGGAAAACAAUAAACGUGGGGUGAGCUAAAGCUCAGUGGUGCCCCAAAACAUGCAAUCACAUAAUAUCAAACAGCGAUUAAUAACUUGGCAAAUUUAAACAGUUAGGAAAGCGUAUAACAGCACAAGGUAGGAUACAGGGGCUCUCAGGAGCCAUUUUCCUCGUUUGAUCACCAUUUAUCGUAGUUGACCCUCCGUCAACUCUCACUACUUAUAAUCCAUGUAGAGCGUCUUAUUUUGAUGCUUAACCCGUCACCAUUCAUACCCCUGUCCCGAGGCCGCUCACCGACUAAGGACGCAGUAUACUCGAGAUAUACCCGUAGAUGAUUGGUCGAGAGAUUCACCCAACGACAUUGUUGUAGUUAGAUUCACGCGUCGAGAGAUUCACCCAACGACGUAACUACAUUUAGAUUCAUGGUAGUUGGAUUCAAAGUCGAGGGAUUCAUCCAACGACGUUAUUGUAGUUAGAUUCACGCGUCGAGAAAUUCACCCAACGACGUAACUACAUUUAGAUUCAUGGAUUCACAAGAAAAAUGAUUUACGCAAGUCACCACUCGAACGACUAGUGCGAUAAAGUACACACAGCUCACUUCGAUGGAUCAAAAACUAGUUUUGCAAAUUAUCACAUAUUGAGUCAAGAAAGCACUUUAACCAAGUAAGCAUAGAACAGGUAGGGACACUCACCAAGAAUAAAGUUCAGAUGUCAAAUUGGGAAUCGAAUUCCGCGUCCUCGCAAUAUCCUAGAAUACAAAAUUUUGAAACUAUAAGUUUCUAUUCAGUUUUUUUAAACUUAUACACAUCGAGGUAUAUCUGAUAUACUACUAGUUUACUUUCCCUUAGAAAAAUUAAGAAUCCACUUAGGUUGAAACUUGACAAAAGUAAUAAAAAUGUUUCUUAUAGUUUUCCUUGAGAUACUUUUCCUUAUAAAAGGUAACUAGUAUUAUUUUCUUGAAAUAAGUCGACAACCUCUUAAGAUCAAAGCUAGAAAGAUAUAUUUGAAAAUUUCUUUAAAGCUAUGGUUCUUGCAAAAAUUAUCACUAAAAACUAUUUUACCUAAAAUAAAAUAAGGUUUCUUGUCGAGCAAGUUUCUAUGCUUUUAACUAAAAUUAUUAAAACUCGUAUUUUGGAAAUUUUCUUAUAGUUAACUAGCCAAGAACAAUUCUUAUAGGAAAGAAAAGGAGUAAAACAAGGCUAGAGUUUUAGAAACUAGGGAAAUCAUUUUCCAAAGGUAAUAAGGCUAGUUUAAACUUAAAGGAAGAAAUAUCGAGUUGGCAAGGUUGAGAAAAUCCCUACAUGACGUUUCUAACAUUAACAUACAGUGCUAGAUUUUUAUCGCACUCUACUAGAGUGAAGAUAUAUGUAAAUAGAUUGUUUUAGAACUUUUCUCAAGUUCACAGGACCAGAACGGAUUUCCUACGAUUCCGAUUUAUAAGCACGUAAUAUUUCAGAUCCAUCCAUAUAACAAACCAACAUUUCCAAUAGAAAUCUCACUAAGGCUUCGUCAAUCAUUAGCCCUAGGUUUCAAUAGGUUCAUAUCAAACCAAGAAUAAAAUAAAUGACCAAGGCUUCAUCAAUCAUUAGCACUUGGUUUUAGCCAGCUCAACUCAACUAAAUAAAAAUGAAGGUAAGGCCUCCAAGAAAUUCCAGCAAUUAAAUUUCAUCACCCAGUAAUACUUAUAAAAUAAUUCAAAUGGCCAAGGGUUUCAUCAAUCAUUAGCCCUUGACAACCUCAAUCACUUCCAACCACAAUUCAAUCAAGAAUUUAAACCACAAGUAAGCUAAAAGCUCGAUCCAAAUCUAAAUUCAAUUUCACAAGAAACAGGACAUUCAUACAAAACAGUCUACUUUGAGGAUUCAUAGACAGCAGUACACAUGGAGGAAAAAUAUGAAAUUUCUACAGAACAAAGGCCUAUGAUUCUAGUUUCAAAUGCCACUGACGGCACCUUAAACGGAUUUUCCUACACCAAGAUAUAAACAUUUCACUGAGACUGGUCAGGGACAUCCGAAAAUCUGAAAUUUCAUUUUUCACUUGUGAAAACUCCUUUUUCUCUUUUAACACCAAAAUGUUUUUAUUCAACAAUCCAUACAUUUCUUAUAGAACUCCAAGACAACAUAUUCCAGGCAUUUCCAUCCAUCAUGUUUCAAGGAAAAAUUUAGAAACCAAGCUGGGAUUCCAACUCAAUCUUCGGCGAUCACAAAAGAAAUUCCAGCAUUCAUAUACCAAUAUUUUUGGUUCCAUCUUCCAAUAUAUCAAUUAUUUCAUUGCUAAACAACUUAAAACUUCCAACUCUUUUGUAUUUCUAAACCAUUAUAUUCCAAGGGAACAAUAAAAUAAAUUUCCAAAAACCAAUUAAACUUUCCAAAGACAACCUGAAAUUUUUGGUUCAACUUUGCGGCUUCCAAAAUUUUCCAGCAACUAAUAUACCUUAGAUCAAGUUUUCCUUUGGUUUAAACAUGGUGUUAGGUACUCAAAUCCAGCAUGUAAACACUUAGCUAGCUAUUAAAAAUUUCCACUUUAAAACCAGAUUCAUACAGCAACUAAAAUCAUCCAGAAAAAUCCAGAAAUCUGUCCAUCAGCUACGGAUGAACAUGCAUGAAGAGACGUUCUGUUUUCAUUUUAUUUUUCUGGGUUUAAAACAUGCUUUUAACUCUCAACUUCCUCAUGCAAUUACUUAGCUAGAAAAUAAACAUUUCCAGUUCAGAAAUCGAGUUCAAUUAACAGCCAUUAACAUCAAAUUUUUCUAAAAAUUUUCCUGCUUGGCUCGGAUGAACAUGCAUGGGCAGGUUGUACUUUGAUUUCAUUUUUCUGGUUGAAACUAACUAAUUAGCUACAUGCAGAGCCUAAUUAACUUGUGAUUAACUAUCUAAUUGUGGUUAUAAGCUCAAACAACAAAAUUGAACCAAAUCAGGCUGCAAUAAUCAAGCUAAGCUCUCGGCAGCUCCAAAACAUGCACAUAACCGAAAUUCUUUUCUUAAAACUCUCAUCCGUAUGCCUAACCCCCACAUGCAAGUUCUUAGAUGACUUAACCUUAUUGUUAUUAGUUGGUUAAACAUUUAAUCAAACUCAGAUUGUCGCAUGAAGUCAGAAAUAAAACUACAAUCCCAAGCCAGCUCCUCGGCAGAAACUUUUAACCAAAACAGAAAUUUUUCUCUGCUUUAACAACAUCAUCCGAAUGCACAAAUCAACAUGCAUGGUCUUAAUCUUCAAGUUUUCACUCAGCUAAUGACACUUAGGUGUUCAGAUUGCCACGGAAAACAAAAAUGGAGCUGCAUUAUCACCUCAGUUUCUCGGCAGCAACAUUUUAUCAAAACAGAAAUUCUUCUAAUGGUUUGAUUUCAUCCACCGACUGAGCAAUCUAUACAUGCAAGCUCUGAUAUAGCUUCCUCUACUAAUAAUCCACCUAAUAAGUCCAGAAAUUACCUCAGAUACCAGCUAAUCUCGCACACGAAAUUUCCAGAAUUUUCUCUCCUUGCUCUCGGCUUUAAGUGCAGGUCGGUUGUCUUGGUUCCUGAGUUGCGGCUGAGAAUUGGUUGCAGCUGGUGGAUUUGAGUUCGGUUGGUUGGAGUUGGUGGAGAUGGAGGCGCAGAAUGGUGAAGCUUCACUGAAAAUUUCUCCUUGGUUUUACUCCAGUUCACGGCAGAAUCCAGAAAAUUUUUGCAGCUCACGUUCCCUCCUCCCUUGCUCUCGGAUGCAGCUCACCAGGUAACCCUCUCUCUCUCUCGUAUACUCUCGGUCUAGGCAGAGGAAGAGGUGAGGUGUGGUUGUAGAGAGGAAGUGCAGUGGUUGCGGUGGAGUUGUGCAGAGGAGAUGGAAUUGGUGAAGAGGCGGUAUCUGGUAUUAAGAAGGAAGGAAAUGGUUUGCGGUAAGUGAUAUGAGAAAGGAUUGAGUGAUAUUAAGAGUAUUGUGGUGCCGUGGUUUAAUAUGUGAAAUGGAGGUAAUGGUAUAAGGUGCCGCGAUUUUAGGAGCAGAGGUUUCGUGUAUUAGAAUCGAUUGCGUAUAGAAUUGGUGAUAGUUGCGGUAAUUGAACUUGCGGUCAGAGGAUUGAUUUGGUUUGCAUGGAAUGGUAAGGGCAUUUUAGUCUUUUCACUUUGCUCCCUAACCUCAACUUAAUUUCUCAAUCCAACUUAAUUCCAAAAAUUAUCCCCAAGUGUGAUUUGAACGCCUAAUUAUACCCUAAUAUACUUAAACCAUUUUUUUAUCGAAUAUUUAUCGAUUAAACUUGAAUAUUAAGGUUCCUAGUAAUUCUUAUAUUAUUUAGCGAUUAAAUUAGUUCUUAGAAUUUCUAAUUAUUAUUUCUCAAGGAAUAGAGUUAGUCUAACUCGAAAUUUAUUGAUUUAGUAAUAUAAAGUCAAGUGAAAUAAUAAUUUAAUCUAAGGGUGCCAAUUUUGCACAUAAAAAUUAUUUUUACGCACUUGUUGUGAAAACAAAGAAAGAUAAGGAUAUAUUUAUCGAAAUUUUCACGCCUUAAGUAUGUUUAGUAUAUUAGUACCAUGUUUAUCUAAAAUUCAUUGGUUUUCAUCUUAACGCGGAAAUUCUUAUUAGCAUUUAACAUUAGCAACUAAUUGGAAUUAAUCAUUGGAGUUUAAAUAAUUUAUUUUAAGAUAGUAAGGCUAUCGACUCAAGUAUCAUUAAUUUAGUAUAAAGGAAUUUAAGUAUUCUAACAUUUUAUGUUAAGGCGAGAAAUUUAAUCUAACCCUAAAGAUAUUAAUUUAGUCUAACAAAACCAAGAAAUUUCAUAACUUAGAAAAAUUAUAUUAUUUUUCACAUAGACCUAUUUUUACGUUCUUAAUUGCGAACAAGUAAAAGUAAUGCUAGAAAUUAUUUAAGGAAUAAAAGAAAUGCAAAUGAAAUAUGCACUAGCUUAUAUAUCCAUUUUCAGGGUUCUCACAUCCUCCCCUCCUUACAAAGAAUUUUGUCCUCAAAAUUCACACUUUCUAAGGAAAUAGGUCGGGGUAUAUAUAUAUAUGUGUAUAAAUUCAAUUAGGCACUUAAUUUAACCAUUUAUUUGUUAUAAUAUUUCUAAUAGCAAAGUAAUUAAAAUAAAGGAUAUUCGUAGCGUACAUAUAAAUAAAAUGGCUAUUCGAAUGGAAGACAAGAAGAAAAGAAAUUGGUUCUGAUCUUGAUAGUCAAAAUUUCUAAAUGCAUUUGACUUUUGAUAAGAAGUUUAACAUUUGUUAUUUGGACGUUAGAUCAAGAAAAAUCAUUUAACCCCAUAAAUCACUUUUGAGAAUAAAAUGCUUUUAAGAAAAUAAGCAGACAUGCAGGUUUGUAUAUACUUAAACUUUGGUCCAAAGCCUCUACUCUUCACACCUAAUCUGAGAAUUAGCUUUUAUGCCACAUAAAACUUAACUAUUUACUCUCCCAUUUCACGACCAAUAUUCAUUCUUAUUUAUAAGAGAAGUUCAAAUAUUCGUAAAAGUUUAAAACAUGCCUAUAGGGCCAAUCACAAGAUAUAUGUAAAAUAAUCAUUAAGUUCACAAGGAAGGACAUCACUAGUUACUCAACCAGGUCAAUUCAUCAUAAUACCAGUAGAUCUCAUCUCCUUGUUCAGUCUCAACUUAGAUCAAGUGCUAGGAUCCCAUUGGAUUGUACAAGACUAUCUAUCAAUCUUUCCUUCUUUUAUCUGUACAACUCUUCUAACGGUUUCAAACCAUUAAUAUCCUUUGACGAGUUAAUCUUAACUUUUUCUCGUGUCUCUUUUCAAGUUCACAUCGGAUCAAUAUUUUCAAAUUUAAGGCCAUAAAGUUUAAAAGGACCCUUUUAAUUCAAACUAAACUUGUUUGUAUUUUUUUAAAUUCCAUAAAUCCUAAAAAGCACCCGUCCUAUACCACUCUAAAAUCUACAUUUGUCCCAAAAGGCAUUCUUUCAAGAUGAAAUUUGUAAAUAAAUGGAUCUUGACCUGAAAUUACAGCUUUAACAAAUAAGAACAACAAGAAUAGAUUUGACAUUUCAUUUAUCUUAGGAAAAUUUCCGAUGCUCAUAGAAUUUAAAAAAAAAUUGGAAAUUUUACACGGUGAAAAGAGCCAUUGUCAACUCUUAAAUCUAAAAAACGAAACUAAUAAAAUAAAAAAAAAUUUUUAUUAACAAAAUUUUGGCAAAACCAGGUUUAAAAUUAUUUCCUUUCAACUUCAAAUUUCAUUUUCAAGAAUCAACGUUUAAAAUAUUAAGCAAAAUCUUGCCAAUGAUUUGUAAGAAAACAGGGCUAAAGGUAAUUAAACAUGUUCGGCCAGUAGCGAUACUACCAAAAAUUUUCACCGAUCCUAUCAUCACUUCCCUACUAUAAUUCAUCAAUCUCAUAGUUUCUUUACACUACUUUGGUUAUCAAUUUUUACUCAAGUUAAGAAUUAUUUAAUCCCAAGGACUAAUGUAUUUUACAACAUUAUAGCAAAAUAGACGCGUAAUCAUCAAAUUUCAUACUCGCAAUAUAAAUCACAUUGCACACCAACUUCAUACAACUUCAAGAGCCAAACAAUUCACGAAUACAUUCAAUAUUUUCAUACGUAAUUCAAACUUCAGUCUUUAUAAGCAUGAAAGGAAACAAUACAACAAUACACAAGUUAUUACAACCACAUAGCUAAUAGCCUAACCCUUAGUUUAGAUUCAUCUUAACCUUCAUUAGUUCAGUCCUGGACAAUCCCACUGGACCCCUUUAGUAACACUAAUCAAAUUUCCCUAGUAAAUUGUAGAUCUACUACGUCUAGUAUCAAAUCAUAUAAUGUGAUCAUUACUUACGUACAUCAGUGGUUCUUAAGUAUUCUAAAUGAUCUCAAACAUUUCAUACAAUAGCCCCAAAUAAUCCUCCAACAAAAUUCAAAGACCACAAUGUCAUCUAGAGCUCACCUUUAUUUAUUUGCAAAUGAUAGCAUACUAAUCACGUGGCAAAUUUAUCACACUUAUCUCUCCUCCGGGUUUAAAGCCAUUCACAACUGCAUAGUUCUUAUUUAAACUGCUAUUUCACUCAAAUUCUAGGUCUAAAGCCACAUUUUUGGGUAAGAGGUGACAUAAAAUCCAUUUACCUUUGAACGACUAAUGGAAUUAUUCAUCUUAAAGAAAAUAUGAAAUUUGCACUAAUCUUCAAGAUCUCACUGCUGGCUUUGCGCUUUUAACUUUCAAAAGUCAGGCUUGGUCCCUUCGAUCCUACUUUUCCAAACUUAAUCAUAAUUUCUAGUCACAUCAUAAUACGAUAUACUGAAUUCUUUUCAAUUGCAAAUACUCCAUUAAAUGUAAUAUUUGGUACUCGGGUACAAGAAUCCGAAAAUAAGGUGAUUCACAACUCAAGUUGGCCAGUCCCAAGCAUGAAUCACCUAUAUUUGAAAUUUCUACCCAACAUACAUAUCUAAUUCCCUUAGCAAUAGUACUUAGUUCAACACUUAAUAGGCCUUUCCCCACGGUCUGAGAACCUUUUCCCGAUUUGAGCUCCAUAAGAGCUCUGAUACCACCCCAAAGGCGAACCAAAGGGUUGGCGGGCCGUCUGCCCAACUCUCGCCAGGACUCACGCAAGCAUUCCAACCCAAAUCCUUUCAAAUAACAACCUAAUCUAUUACAAAACAAUUUUCCCCGAAUAAUAUCAUCACUAAAACCACAUUAACUUCAAAGACAGCAGUGAUAUAAAUAGCCAAUCGAGGCUCUUAAACGUCCCACGUGCUACGUACUAAGGUAUAAAGUCGUACCAAUCCGGAUAGAUAAAUACAUAAAUCCCUAAUACAACCUUACAAGCCAAGCAAUCAAAUUAGGGUUUACACAUUUUCCAGCUUCAAGUGGCAAUCCAAAAUGAAAGUACAUUAUCCCAAAUAACACAUUACAGCCCACAGAAUAAGUCAUAGUAUUCAAAUACAUUCCAAAAGAGAAAACAUAAGUAAGCAUUCAAGCUUUCAGUUUCCAGAACCUGUUAAGGAAAACAAUAAACGUGGGGUGAACUAAAACUCAGUGGUGCCCCAAAACAUGAAAUCACAUAAUAUCAAACAGCGAUUAAUAACUUGGCAAAUUUAAACAGUUAGGAAAGCGUAUAACAGCACAAGGUAGGAUACAGGGGCUCUCAGGAGCCAUUUUCCUCGCUUGAUCACCAUUUAUCGUAGUUGACCCUCCGUCAACUCUCACUACUUACAAUCCAUGUAGAGCGUCUUAUUUUGAUGCCUAACCCGUCACCAUUCAUACCCCUGUCCCGGGCCCGCUUACCGACUAAGGACGCAAUAUACUCGAGAUAUACCCGUAGAUGAUUGGUCGAGAGAUUCACCCAACGACAUUAUUGUAGUUAGAUUCACGCGUCGAGGGAUUCACCCAACAACGUAACUACAUUUAGAUUCAUGGUAGUUGGAUUCAAAGUCGAGGGAUUCACCCAACAACGUUAUUGUAGUUAGAUUCACGCGUCGAGGAAUUCAUCCAACGACGUAAUUACAUUUAGAUUCAUGGUAGUUGGAUUCAAAGUCGAGGGAUUCAUCCAAUGACGUUAUUGUAGUUAGAUUCACGCGUCGAGAGAUUCACCCAACGACGUAACUACAUUUAGAUUCAUGGAUUCACAAGAAAAAUGAUUUACGCAAGUCACCACUCGAACGACUAGUGCGAUAAAGUACACACAGCUCACUUCGAUGGAUCAAAAACUAGUUUUGCAAAUUAUCACAUAUUGAGUCAAGAAAGCACUUUAACCAAGUAAGCAUAGAACAGGCAGGGACACUCACCAAGAGUGAAGUUCAGAUGUCAAAUUGGGAAUCGAAUUCCGCGUCCUCGCAAUAUCCUAGAAUACAAAAUUUUGAAACUAUAAGUUUCUAUUCAGUUUUUUUAAGCUUAUACACAUCGAGGUAUAUCUGAUAUACUACUAGUUUACUUUCCCUUAGAAAAAUUAAGAAUCCACUUAGGUUGAAACUUGACAAAAGUAAUAAAAAUGUUUCUUAUAGUUUUCCUUGAGAUACUUUUCCUUAUAAAAGGUAACUAGUAUUAUUUUCUUGAAAUAAGUCGACAACCUCUUAAGAUCAAAGCUAGAAAGAUAUAUUUGAAAAUUUCUUUAAAGCUAUGGUUCUUGCAAAAAUUAUCACUAAAAACUAUUUUACCUAAAAAAAAUAAGGUUUCUUGUCGAGCAAGUUUCUAUGCUUUUAACUAAAAUUAUUAAAACUCGUAUUUUGGAACUUUUUCUAUAGUUAACUAGCCAAGAACAAUUCUUAUAGGAAAGAAAAGGAGUAAAACAAGGCUAGAGUUUUAGAAACUAGGGAAAUCAUUUUCCAAAGGUAAUAAGGCUAGUUUAAACUUAAAGGAAGAAAUAUCGAGUUGGCAAGGUUGAGAAAAUCCCUACAUGACGUUUCUAACAUUAACAUACAGUGCUAGAUUUUUAUCGCACUCUACUAGAGUGAAGAUAUAUGUAAAUAGAUUAUUUUAGAACUUUUCUUAAGUUCACAGGACCAGAACGGAUUUCCUACGAUUCCGAUUUAUAAGCACGUAAUAUUUCAGAUCCAUCCAUAUAACAAACCAACAUUUCCAAUAGAAAUCUCACUAAGGCUUCGUCAAUCAUUAGCCCUAGGCUUCAAUAGGUUCAUAUCAAACCAAGAAUAAAAUGACCAAGGCUUCAUCAAUCAUUAGCACUUGGUUUUAGCCAGCUCAACUCAACUAAAUAAAAAUGAAGGUAAGGCCUCCAAGAAAUUCCAGCAAUUAAAUUUCAUCACCCAGUAAUACUUAUAAAAUCAUUCAAAUGGCCAAGGGCUUCAUCAAUCAUUAGCCCUUGACAACCUCAAUCACUUCCAACCACAAUUCAAUCAAGAAUUUAAACCACAAGUAAGCUAAAAGCUCGAUCCAAAUCUAAAUUCAAUUUCACAAGAAACAGGACAUUCAUACAAAACAGUCUACUUUGAGGAUUCACAGACAGCAGUACACAUGGAGGAAAAAUAUGAAAUUUCUAAAGAACAAAGGCCUAUGAUUCUAGUUUCAAAUGCCACUAACGGCACCUUAAACGGAUUUUCCUACACCAAGAUAUAAACAUUUCACUGAGACUGGUCAGGGACAUCCGAAAAUCUGAAAUUUCAUUUUUCACCUGUGAAAACUCCUUUUUCUCUUUUAACACCAAAAUGUUUUUAUUCAACCAUCAAUACAUUUCUUAUAGAACUCCAAGACAACAUAUUCCAGGCAUUUCCAUCCAUCAUGUUUCAAGGAAAAAUUUAGAAACCAAGCUGGGAUUCCAACUCAAUCUUCGGCGAUCACAAAAGAAAUUCCAGCAUUCAUAUACCAAUAUUUUUGGUUCCAUCUUCCAAUAUAUCAAUUAUUUCAUUGCUAAACAACUUAAAACUUCCAACUCUUUUGUAUUUCUAAACCAUUAUAUUCCAAGGGAACAAUAAAAUAAAUUUCCAAAAACCAAUUAAACUUUCCAAAGACAACCUGAAAUUUUUGGUUCAACUUUGCGGCUUCCAAAAUUUUCCAGCAACUAAUAUACCUUAGAUCAAGUUUUCCUUUGGUUUAAACAUGGUGUUUAGGUACUCAAAUCCAACAUGUAAACACUUAGCUAGCUAUUAAAAAUUUCCACUUCAAAACCAGAUUCAUACAGCAACUAAAAUCAUCCAGAAAAAUCCAGAAAUCUGUCCAUCAGCUACGGAUGAACAUGCAUGAAGAGACGUUCUGUUUUCAUUUUAUUUUUCUGGGUUUAAAACAUGCUUUUAACUCUCAACUUCCUCAUGCAAUUACUUAGCUAGAAAAUAAACAUUUCCAGUUCAGAAAUCGAGUUCAAUUAACAGCCAUUAACAUCAAAUUUUUCUAAAAAUUUUCCUGCUUGGCUCGGAUGAACAUGCAUGGGCAGGUUGUACUUUGAUUUCAUUUUUCUGGUUGAAACUAACUAAUUAGCUACAUGCAGAGCCUAAUUAACUUGUGAUUAACUAUCUAAUUGUGGUUAUAAGCUCAAACAACAAAAUUGAACCAAAUCAGGCUGCAAUAAUCAAGCUAAGCUCUCGGCAGCUCCAAAACAUGCACAUAACCGAAAUUCUUUUCUUAAAACUCUCAUCCGUAUGCCUAACCCCCACAUGCAAGUUCUUAGAUGACUUAACCUUAUUGUUAUUAGUUGGUUAAACAUUUAAUCAAACUCAGAUUGUCGCAUGAAGUCAGAAAUAAAACUACAAUCCCAAGCCAGCUCCUCGGCAGAAACUUUUAACCAAAACAGAAAUUUUUCUCUGCUUUAACAACAUCAUCCGAAUGCACAAAUCAACAUGCAUGGUCUUAAUCUUCAAGUUUUCACUCAGCUAAUGACACUUAGGUGUUCAGAUUGCCACGGAAAACAAAAAUGGAGCUGCAUUAUCACCUCAGUUUCUCGGCAGCAACAUUUUAUCAAAACAGAAAUUCUUCUAAUGGUUUGAUUUCAUCCACCGACUGAGCAAUCUAUACAUGCAAGCUCUGAUAUAGCUUCCUCUACUAAUAAUCCACCUAAUAAGUCCAGAAAUUACCUCAGAUACCAGCUAAUCUCGCACACGAAAUUUCCAGAAUUUUCUCUCCUUGCUCUCGGCUUUAAGUGCAGGUCGGUUGUCUUGGUUCCUGAGUUGCGGCUGAGAAUUGGUUGCAGCUGGUGGAUUUGAGUUCGGUUGGUUGGAGUUGGUGGAGAUGGAGGCGCAGAAUGGUGAAGCUUCACUGAAAAUUUCUCCUUGGUUUUACUCCAGUUCACGGCAGAAUCCAGAAAAUUUUUGCAGCUCACGUUCCCUCCUCCCUUGCUCUCGGAUGCAGCUCACCAGGUAACCCUCUCUCUCUCUCGUAUACUCUCGGUCUAGGCAGAGGAAGAGGUGAGGUGUGGUUGUAGAGAGGAAGUGCAGUGGUUGCGGUGGAGUUGUGCAGAGGAGAUGGAAUUGGUGAAGAGGCGGUAUCUGGUAUUAAGAAGGAAGGAAAUGGUUUGCGGUAAGUGAUAUGAGAAAGGAUUGAGUGAUAUUAAGAGUAUUGUGGUGCCGUGGUUUAAUAUGUGAAAUGGAGGUAAUGGUAUAAGGUGCCGCGGUUUUAGGAGCAGAGGUUUCGUGUAUUAGAAUCGAUUGCGUAUAGAAUUGGUGAUAGUUGCGGUAAUUGAACUUGCGGUCAGAGGAUUGAUUUGGUUUGCAUGGAAUGGUAAGGGCAUUUUAGUCUUUUCACUUUGCUCCCUAACUUCAACUUAAUUUCUCAAUCCAACUUAAUUCCAAAAAUUAUCCCCAAGUGUGAUUUGAACGCCUAAUUAUACCCUAAUAUACUUAAACCAUUUUUUUUAUCGAAUAUUUAUCGAUUAAACUUGAAUAUUAAGGUUCCUAGUAAUUCUUAUAUUAUUUAGCGAUUAAAUUAGUUUUUAGAAUUUCUAAUUAUUAUUUCUCAAGGAAUAGAGUUAGUCUAACUCGAAAUUUAUUGAUUUAGUAAUAUAAAGUCAAGUGAAAUAAUAAUUUAAUCUAAGGGUGCCAAUUUUGCACAUAAAAAUUAUUUUUACGCACUUGUUGUGAAAACAAAGAAAGAUAAGGAUAUAUUUAUCGAAAUUUUCACGCCUUAAGUAUGUUUAGUAUAUUAGUACCAUGUUUAUCUAAAAUUCAUUGGUUUUCAUCUUAACGCGGAAAUUCUUAUUAGCAUUUAACAUUAGCAACUAAUUGGAAUUAAUCAUUGGAGUUUAAAUAAUUUAUUUUAAGAUAGUAAGGCUAUCGACUCAAGUAUCAUUAAUUUAGUAUAAAGGAAUUUAAGUAUUCUAACAUUUUAUGUUAAGGCGAGAAAUUUAAUCUAACCCUAAAGAUAUUAAUUUAGUCUAACAAAACCAAGAAAUUUCAUAACUUAGGAAAAUUAUAUUACUUUUCACAUAGACCUAUUUUUACAUUCUUAAUUGCGAACAAGUAAAAGUAAUGCUAGAAAUUAUUUAAGGAAUAAAAGAAAUGCAAAUGAAAUAUGCACUAGCUUAUAUAUCCAUUUUCAGGGUUCUCACAUUAGGUAUAUGUGUGUCAAUUUCAAACUUAGGUUUAAGGACAAGGCACUUAGAGAUAUCAUGUGCGCUGCUGCGAGGGCAUAUGAGGCAGAUGGUUGGACACAAAAGAUGAGAGAACUCCAGGUUGUUCAUAGGGAAACUUAUGACUGGUUAAGUGCUAUUCCAGCUAAUCUUUAGUCGAGGUGCAUGUUCAAUCCAAGAUCAAAGUGCGAUCUUUUGAGCAUAACAUUAGUGAAUCCUUCAACUAGUAUUUUAAGGAGGCAAGUAAGGAGCCAAUUUUAUCUAUGUUUGAAAUGAUUAGAAGACUUAUUAUGUGUAGAUACCAAGAAAAGAGAGAAUUCAUAUCCAAAGUCAAGGGAAAAAUUUGUCCAAGAAUCCAUGACUAGGUGGAGGAAAUUUAAGGCAUGAGAAGUGGAAUAUGAAGCUGUUCAAGCUGGUCAAGGCGUAUGGGAGAUCACAAGCUAUGCAGGGCACAAAUUUGUUAACCUGAAUGCAAGAACUUGUACUUGUAGAGAAUGGGAUAUAAUUGGUGGUCCUUAUGUACAUGCACGUGCAGCAAUUAUAAAUUUUAAUCAAGAACCAGCAGACCUUGUCCAUCCAUACUAUGGUGUAGAGUAAUAUUGUAGAGCUUAUGAGGGUAUGGUGGUUCCUAUUCUAGAAGAUAGUCUAUGGGUUCAAACAGGUGGAUUGCCCAUUCAACCACCAAACUAAGGAGAAGAUCGGGCAGACCUAGAAAGCUACGAAGAAAAAGUGCAGAUAAGCUAGUGAAUGGUGAUGUGGUAUCUAGAAAGGGUACUAUAGCCUACUGUAGCAAUUGUAAUAUGCUUGGUCAUAAUAGGAAGACAUGCAGGCAACCAAGACAGGUUGUGUAUGAUGCCUUAAAUUGUGUUUAAUAAUUUCUUUACUUAGCUUAUUUAUUAAUUUGGUUACUUUUGUAGGAUAAAAAUGUCACUCAAACAAGAAGGGGAGGGGGUACAGCCCCACCAAGAAAUGUUGGUGGAAGACCAAGAACAAUUAAUGUGGACACACAGAAUGUUAAUGUCAAUGUAACUAGUGGUAAUAGAAAGGGUAUGAAAGGGGAAGAGGUAAUGGUAGAGGAGUGGAGUCAUCAGCUAGAGGUGGGUGAAGAGGGAAAAGAAUGAGAGGUGCAUUUUCAAGAUGUCCUCCACCGCUUUCUGGAUUUGGAAAUUGGAAUGGUACUGGAAUUUUUGAUGGCAGAAACUCCAUCCUAACUGAUGUGGUGAUCUAAUAUUAUCUUAGGCAUUAUGUAUAUUUCCAAACUUUGUCAUUUUUAACUUGUAUUAAUGUCUUUCUCAUUAAUGGCAGGUAGCAAGGGUGGCCAUGUAACCUCAUAACACUUCUGAAACUCGAGCAGUUCAAAUGGCAAAUAUUUCAGCUAUAUUUUUGUACACUUUUGCUUUAAUUUCAGCUGCAUUUUAACUAACUAAUGUCAUGUGUAACUAGUGUACAAAUGAUCCCCUCACUGGAGGCUCACAAUUGAGCACUAAUACUAAUGCUAAUGAUGGUAGAUACCCACUACUCGGGUAUAUAUUGUUACUGCAGUUCAUAUACAAUUCACAGGCAAGGUAAAGUAAAUAUACAUGACCAAUAUCUUGUUUUUAUUUGUAUCAGAUCCAAAGGCAUUCAACAAGAUUUGGUGAUGUUUUGUUCUCCAGUCAAUCUUCCAGCGCUAGGCAUUUGUGCAUCAAGACUCUCGAGUACCACCUAAUGAAGGUUCAUCUAACUAGCAAGACGAUAAUAUAGCCCAUAAAGGAUAUAUUCCUCUUUUGUAGUGGAUACAUACUUUUGAAGGGUUUAGACAAUAGAUAUGGUCUUUUUUGUUUGGUUGAACACUAGAAUAUGAAAUUUUGGUACUUUGUAUUAGUAAGGUGGAAAAUGAUCUUCCUGGUAGUUUAUGCAGUAUGCUUUAUAGUAUUUCAUUAGUGAACUAUGGACUGGUUUAUGAAGUUACUCCCCUAGCUCUUUCUAUUAUUAUGCUGUUUAUUUUUUCCAUAUUGCUUUCUUUUUUUCUCUAACUUGAAACCAGCACUAUGGUGCGGUUUACAACAAACCACAAUCUUACACUACCUUAAAAGAUUCAUAUUACAUGAUGUUCAUGGUAGAAAAUACACUUGUUCCUUUUUCUUUUCUUUCAUUACUGCAAUUACAACUACAAUAAGCACCACUAUAAUUAGAGAUAUCAGCUUCCUCACUUUGGAGUCGAUUCUUCUUCUUUCUUUAAGAGCCCAUUUAUACUUGGCCACUGUUUCCUGCAAUGACUGGAUUAUAGCUUUGAAUUCUUCACAUUUGGUCACCAGCUGGUCAUUUUGAAACAUAGUAGCAACUCUUGCAGCAUUCACUUUUUCAUAUGCUCUUUGUAGCUGCUCAUUUUGUUGCUGCAAAUGGUUAAUCCUUGCCUGCAUUUCUUCCAUUUUGUCAUGAAAAUAUUCUUCAAUUUCCAUUCCUUUUUUGCAUGUUUCAGGUUCCACCCAUUUAAAAUACCCACAUGCAUUAGUGUUCUGUUUUUAAAAAAAAUAAAAAAUAAGCGGCUGUUAUUACCUUUGAUUCACUGAAAUUGUAUGAGAUUUGGACUUACCGAAUAAUUAGAACAUGCUAAGAAUUUUCUUCCUGGGUUGUGAAUGGUCCAUGAAGUGUGUAGAGGUGCUAUUCUUCCACACCUGCAUCUUGAGUUGAAGUUUGUUGCUUCAUAUGCAUUGCUUGAGCUACAACUAUUUAGACUAUGUUCCAUGUGUGUAGAAGAAUUGUGCAUCUGUGAAGAAGAGGAAAUAAAAGGGGAAAAAUUAUGAGGAGAAGUGAAGCUAGGUGGAGACAUUUAUAUUCAUUUGGAAAUAGGGCAAUUCUAUAAGCAAAUUUCAACAGACAAAAAGUGCAAGCCACGUGCUUUGUUUGACAGUCAAAUGUGUGAGUAGUCAUUUUCUUAGGAUGCAAUAUAAAUAUACUUUGGGGUGUAUUGUGCUAUAGCUAUGAAAGUUCAUGAGGGUUUUCUGCAUUUAACCCUUUUAUUUUUUUGUUAGGUAGGGAUUUUGGUGAUGUAUUAACUCCUAUUUGUAGUUUUUAUUUCUUGCUUUGAUGUUGAAAAGGCUUCAUUGGAGUUGGAUAUUCCUUAGAUGACAAAUGGCAGUUGAAUUCUUCACAUUAAUCUAUCAAGGGAGUGUUACCUUCUUUUCUUUUGCACUUUUAUUUCUUUAUUCCUUCCCAACAUUGGGGACAAUAUUACCUUAAGUGUUUGGGGGGUGUUCCAAUAUUGCAUUAAGUGUGGGGGAUGUUCUCUGGUUGAAGAGAAGUGACAUUUUUGUACAAAAUUUUUAAAAUUCUUUUGUGCAAAAAUUUUCAAAUUUAUGUUUUCCUUCGGUAUGCAAUGACUUAUAUCCCAAGUAUGGUCAUUGCUAAAGCUUAUUUGUAUGAAUGUGUUACGUGUUGAAUAGUAUUGUUUUAAGGCACUUAUUUGGUGAAUUGUUAAUAUUUUGAAACUCUUUCAAUUUUUGGCUAACUUUAUUAGACAUUGUAAAUAUUUAGUUAGUAUUUCUAGUGUGAAAUUGACCUAAUCAUUAAUCUUAAUUCUUUGUGUUAUUGGAAUAUGAAACAGGCUGUUGUGUUGUAUUUGUGCUCGAAAGGUGUAUUACAUUUUGAACUAAAUCGCGCAGGUAGUCGCUGCCUAGUAACCGAGAUUUUUCACCUAAAAGUAUCAACUUUUGUAUCAAAAAGUAACAAGAGUUAUGAAUAUGUGGAGAAAAUUCCCAAUUUAUGAUGAAUUUUAAAAAAUUUCUACAAAAAGGGCAGUUUGAGAAUGCAAUUCUGUCCAGGAGAUCUUCGCAUUCAGCAUAUGCGAGCUCAUGGGAAGUCACUCCGCAUUUUUAGACCCAUAAAGCAAAAAAAAAAAAAGUUAACAUUGACCUCGCAUUUCGGAAAUGCGAGGUCAGUGACUGUAAAAAAAAAAAUUUGCUAAACGUGAGCUCUAAAAUGCGACUUCACAAAACGCAACUUGAAGUAGUGUUUUGCUAAGUCGCAUUUUCUUCACUUUCCUUGCUAAGUCGCGAUUAGCACGGAAAUCGAGGCUAAUUUGGUUUUGGGCUUAGUCUUGAUUGAUUAUUUUAUCUGCAAGGACUAUAUUCUAAUUUUGAAUAAUUAAUUUUUGUGGUGUUGUCGUACAACUUUUUAUGUUCAAAUUAUAGAUUUUUUUUUCACAAAUCUAUAAUUAAAAAAAAGGAUUUAUUUCUCUAUGAUAAAUGUCAAUUCGAAAACAAAAAUGAUUGUGAGCUCCUAAAUAAAAAAAAAGCAAUUUUUUAAUGUAGUUUUCUAUGAAUUCGCAUUUAUCGAAUGCGAGAUCCAAAAUAUUUACUCCUCGCACUCAAUGAAUGCCUAAACAAUUAUUUUUUUAAAAAAAAGAUUUUACUAAAGAUUGCUUUUAGUAAAUGAGAGAUCUGCAAAAAAAAUAUUGUGCGAAAUUUAAUUCUCUAGGAGCUCGCGUUUAGUACUCUAAGAAAACAAAUCUUUUUUAAAUUUAAUUUUGUAGAAGCUUGCUAGAAGAAAACAAAUAUUAUUUUACUUUAACUUUUUUAGGAGCUCGCAUUUAGUAAAUGACAAUAUGUGAAAUGGUCAAAAAGAGAAAAAUGAUUGCAGUUACAAUAAAUAUUUAAAAAUAUUUAUUUCCUCUGACAGAACAAAUAUUUUUGGGUUAAUUCCACUUUGUCCCCCCAAACUUUGGACGAUUAUCCACUUCAAUCCCUAAACUUCAAAAUGAGACACUUAAGUCCCUAAACUUAUAAUACCUCCCACUUAAGAAAAAUUGUUAACAAAUCCUGAAUGUCGUUGGUGGUCGAAGUGUCCCAUUUUAUAAGGGUUUAGGGAUUUAAAUGUCCCAUUUGAUAAGUUUAGGGACUUAAGUGGGAAGUAUUUAUAAGUUUAGGGACUUAAGUGUCCCAUUUUGAAGUUUAGAAACUGAAGUGGGUAAUUGUUCAAAGUUUUGGGGGACAAAGUAGAAUUAACCCAAUAUUUUUCAUAUCAUGAUAGCUGUAACAUAAAAAAAAUAUUUUUUAGAGCUCACAUUUAGCAAAAAAAAAAUUUUACAAGUCAUUAACCUCGCAUUUCCGAAAUGCAAGGUCGUGGAAAAUGCAAUGUCAAUGUUAACUUUUUUUUUUUUUUGGCUUUCUGGGUCUAAAAGUGCGAAGUGACUUCGCAUUCAACAAAUGCAAGCUCCAUGCAUUCUCAAACUGCCUCUUAGACGGAAUUGUAUUCUUAAAUGCGAAGAACCCCUAGACGGAAUUGCAUUCUCAAACUGCCCCCAUUGCAGAAAUUUUUUAAAAUUUGUCAUUAAUUUGGAAUUUUCUCUGAAUAUGUGGUUCUUAAGCAGUGUAAGCUGAGUAACCGGAUUCCUUCAUUUGGGAGAUGUCGAAGUUCACGUCAAAAAGUUUGAACGGCUGAAAAUCAAGUAAUUCUCCCGAUUAAAAUGUGAAAAAAAACCUUAAGUGUGGGAGAGUUUGAAAAAAAGGAAAAAAUGUGGAAAAAAGGAAAGAAGAAUUAUUAUAAUGUUAGCCUACGGAUUCAUGUAGUUAUACAUUUCAAAAUUUGCUUAAUGGUUAGGCCAGUUUAUUGAGAAAUAUUGUGAAAUACUUUAUAUACUUAGUUUAGUUAGCUAGCAUUGAAAGAGUUGAUGGUAUUGAAGGCUAACCAAAUAAGUGAUUCCUUGGCUUUCGCUUUUAGCACCUAACACUUGUUUUGCGUGGUUACCUUAGACAAUAAUUUCCUUGACUAUAACCACUGUGCAUGUUUCACUAGUAUUAUUUGGGUGCUUGGGGACAAGCACUGAUUAAGUGUGGAGGAGUUUCAUAGAGCAUAAAUUAGAGGGUUUAUGAUUAAUUAUUUAUGACAUAUAUGUUUAUAUCGAAUAGACAAUUACUCAUUUGGUGUUCUAUUUGUUUCAUAGGGAGUAAAUUGAAGGAUUAAAGAAAUUGGAUAGAAAUUGUGCGAAGAUUUCAAAGUUUGGGGCUCGAACCCAAUUUCAAGAAUUGGAAGCAGAAAGUCGGGCACCAAACAUGGGGUCAGAUGUAUCAUUGGACAUCUUCUAGAAUCGAAAAAAAUUGGAAGAUUGCUAAAGUUUGGUGCCAAACUUAGUGCCGGACUUGUCUCCAAACUUUAUCAGAAAGUCAGGUGCGCUUAUUUUUCUUCAACUCUAAGAAACCUAUUCCAGCUAUAAUUCAAUUGUAAUCUUUAGUAACUAUAAAUAGGGGCUAUUUAGGACAUCUUGAGGGAUUGGAAAAGAUUAGCAUUGACGAGAGUUGGGUAUACAUAUAACAAUUAGUUCAUUCACAAUCAAAUUUUACAUUUAUAAAUUCCUAAAUACGCUACAGGCGAUUUUUCGCAAAUAUACGAGUCGCGAUUGAGUAUAGGGUAUUAAGGGUCGAACCCACAGGGAAGAUUGUCAAUUACCGAUGUUUUUCGAACUCCUUUAUUAUUUAGACUAUCACAAGUACAAGAAAUUAAAUCUACAUUAUAAAAGUAACAAAAAUACAAUAAAAAGCUCCUGAGGUAUGGAAUUCCUUACUAUUCUUGCAAGUGAAAUUACCAGUUAAGUGAAUGUUAUUAUCUUGGUUAGUUAUGGCGUAAUUUCUUAAUGUAUGUAAAACCUACUCUCGUAGUAAAUCAACUAUAUUUGUAAUUAAGUCAUACCUACUCUCGUGAUUAUGAAAUUAACUACAAACUCAUUUCUUCUAUGAAAUUAUAGGAAACAAGGCACUAAAGUCACAAAGGUGCUUUUCUACUCUCGUGAGUGAACUCCCUAAGUUUAUCACUUCCUUAAACUAGUGUUAAAUUGCAAUUCUCAUUGCAAACUUAACACCUUAAAAUUAUUAUAAUUAAUGAUUGGUUAAUCAUGAUUAGAAAAACAAAAGUGAUAAAUAACUUGUUUAAAAUAAUAUCAUAAAAUAACCAAGUAAAUAUCACUAACAAAAUAUAGAAAGUUCAUCCAUAUUCUAGGCAUAAACUUUAGAAACACAUAUUGAAAUACAAAUCCAAAACUUGCAUAUUAACCAUGCUUAAGAAUCCAAUACAAAAGAUAAAGAGUUUGAGAAGAGAUAAUCCUUGUCACAUGAGCUUCAAACCCUUCUUUUUCAUCUCCAUCUUCAUCCUAAUCUAGCCAAUAUACAAGAGUAGAUAAAAACUAUACUACUCUAUACUAAACUAUUAAGCUAAACUAAUGAACUAAGGAAAUUCUAGUAAAGACUACAUUUUUUGUGAGUUUCUCUAGCCUUCCAAAGUUGUGAAAAUGUUUCCCAAAACUGCUAUUUAUAGAGAAUUCAAGCUCAAGGUGAGUUGUUUCUUGGUUGACAAAGUUGGCUUUUGAACUCACCAAGAGUUGUCCUCCAAAUUUCCACACUCUUCUUGGUCAAAUACAGCUGAAAUUUUGAGUUGUAGAUGAAUUGGAAAGAUUGUGUGAAUGCAAAACAAAUUGUAGAGCAAGUUGCAGCAGAAAAAAUAGAAUACGUAACCUCGAAUAUGCGACCUUAGGUCACGUAUUGCACCCCACGUAUUGCUUCUGUACGUUUGCACUUUCUAGGCAAAAUUCAUCCUUACUCUAUUUUUUGUUCAACUUCAACUGAUAUUUUAUUGAUAAUGGAGGCUGAAUUAGCUCUUAUAUAAAGCAUGAAAGUUGUAUUCCUUUGAGUUAUCUUUCCUAUGCAUUAACAAUCAUCCAAUUUGGAGCUCUUUGGACUAAUAAAUGACCAAAAUACUCUCAACUGGUCAGAACUCUAUUUCAGCUUUCGACCAUAAAAAUUCACUUUUGUAUUUUGACGUUUUGACUAGGAAAACGACAAAAAUGGACUUCAAUGUCUUCAUACCAAAUGUAGAUAUAUCUCUUAGCUUCAAAAUGGUAUAAGAAUCACCUCAAUUUGAUACUUGUAGCUCAAGGCAUUGCUGAAAUACCACAAGGUGUCAAAACUGAAAAACUUGCAUUUCAUCCUUUGAGUAUUUUGCACUUCAUGUCUACUUUAAAUCACUUCAAAUCAUCAUCAAUCAUCCAAUUAUCUUCUCAAUUCAUCUAAUUGAUCAUUGAAACAUUAAACUUACAAAAACAUGAAGUUUUUACCAUUAAAAUCCAUAGAAAUGCAAUUUUUACCACUUAAACCACAAAAUGCAUAUAUUAAUUAGCUAUAAAAGUAAUCAAAACACACCAACACUAACUAAUAAAAUACACUAAAAAUAUGUAAAAUAUGCACUUAUCAAGCAUAACUUAGUUUAACAUUGUUCUAUAACUUUUCUUUACAGAUCAAGAUCGAACUCAUACGAAUCAAAGAACGCAUAAGGAGAAGACUGGAGCGAGUGACUAAGAAGUUUCUUUCUCUGAUCCUUAUCUUUGUAUUAAUUCAUUGAAUUUGUGGUUUUAAAUUUUCCAUCAUGUUGAGCUAAAUUUACGUCUAGGGUUAAGGUAUUUAUAAAGGGAUUUGACUAAUUUUUCAAGGUUAAUUUCUUGACUUUCACUAUGAUUUGUCUAUCUCAAUUUUAAUUACAUAUUUAUACCUAAUCAACAUGAAUAUGAUCUUUGAGUUGUAUUAAGUUGAGAAGUGACAUAUAGCUAUGCACUAGAUAGAUGAACAUGCUUACAAGAGUAGGUUAGGGUUCGUGUGACUCUAUUAAAUCACCUAUGUUCUUAAAGGAUUUAAUUAAAUUCUUGUCAUCUCGAGAAAGACAUGAGAUUUAUUAGACACACUUUAGAUAUAUCAAUAAACAAUCUAAAAUACCUUAGCAUGAGGUGUUCAUAGCCAAUCAAGAAAAUAACUAGUUAAAUUAACUUAAAUUUUGGAUUAAAACCUAAAACCCUAGGUUCUCAACUGUUGUUUUCUCAACCACUAUUUUAUUUGAUUUAUUUCCUUUUCUUGCCACUUACUGAAAAGUUUAAUCACUUAAAUUUAAAUCUUGUUGUUUGCUAAGAUUUGUUAAAUAACUGAAGUAGAGAAUUAACUCAUUUCUAUGGGUUUGACCCCUGAAUUACUCUAGGUGAUUUUUAUUACUAUGAUGAACCCUGUAUACUUGUAGGAAAUUUUCAAUCAAAAAUGUCAUUUUCAAAGCAAUUUUUACUUAUCCUCACUAUAGUUCCUCCUAUUUCAAAAAAUGUACUAAUAAAUAACUAAUGACUAUAUAAAAUUAUCAUCAAAACAAGAGCUGAUCAAUAAUUAAAUAUAUGUGAUUCAACUUUUUUUCAUUUAUUGUGAAGUUAAGAACAUUCUUAUGUACCCCAUCUAUUUAAACAAGAUAUGAAGAUCACUAGAUGGAUACCUAAUUCAUUUUCUUAUGUGAUGUUAACAUGUAUAGAUAUAGUAUUUAAGUAUAAACUUGGCAAAUAACAUCACAAUCUUUCUACUAGCACAAAAUAAUAUGUUAAAUUUAACUAAAUCAGGGUACAAUGAUCUAACACUUAAACAAGAAGAUACAUGAUACCUAGUGGAUAAACUAUAUCAAAUUUAGAUAGUUUAGCAUAAUCUACAUAAAAACUCAUAACAAGUUAAUCAUAAAGGAUUUUGAACCAUAUAAAUACAUUUGAAGAAUAAGACCUCCCCAUUUCUUUUUCAAGUCAUGAACUCAUUGAAAAAAUAAUGGGAGUUAUCACAAUCAAGCACUCAUAUGUCCAAUCAAUUCAAAUCAUAUUUUUAUAGGAAAAAAGUCCCAAUGGCUCUCCAACUCUUUCCUAAAUAAAGUUUUAACCCUCCAACAAUUAAUAGUGAAGUUUUGGCCCUCGAUCUAAUAAAGUAAUAUAUUUGUGGCCUUUCUGUCAAACCCAGCAGUUAAAUGUGACGGAAAGCAUCAUCUAAUGAGACGCGUGACCAAAUAUCAAGGGCAUUAUAGUCUCUAAGUAAAGACAAAGUAAAAACAUUUUCACCACUCAUUUUCUCUUCAACAAUUUCCACCCCUUUUGCUCCAAAACGCUAGUGCAAAAAAAUCAAACUACUCAAUCCAGAUGCUGCAGCGAAAGUGCUAAUUGCUAGCAUGGGAGGGGUUGUAAAGGCAUAAUGGAGUGGCAAAUACGGAGGAGAGAUGACUACUUUGAUCUGUACCUUGUUUAUGGUAAUUGAAAUUCUUGUUUACUAAUCCAUUUGGGUUUAAGAUUUGUUUAUACACAUGUGUAAUGGAACUUAUUUGUUUAUAUGUUUGGGUAAUGGUGAUGUCGGGAGGCUAAGUGGUCCAAUUUGUGGUCCUACUUUGUUUGUUGUAAAUUGACAAUGUCGGACAAAGGGGGUUGUUUUGAAAGUGAUGUAUUUUAAUGGCCGAAAAGGGACACUUUAUUUCUUUAGGAUCUUUUUUUUUUUUGCUGAAUUUAACCAAUUCAGUAUUUCAUCUGUCAGCCUUUAUGUGUUUUUUCGUUAUGUUGUUGACUGUUUUAUCCCAAUUGCCACUGUAGAGACUGAUUCUGAACGGUUUACUAUUCGGAUGCAUCAUGGGGUAAGAAUUAUAUGGGAACAGUAUGUAUGGUUUGCUAAUGGAGAGGUGGACUAUGUAGAUGUUUGUGAUGCCGAAAGAAUGUCAACCAUUGAACUAAAUAAAAUGGUGGAGAAAAUGGGAUAUCAUAAAGCUGUCAUAAUGUACUAUUACCUUGAACCAAAUAAGCAUAUAUCUAACAUAUGGUUUAAGAGAAUUGUGCACCGAUGAUGACGUUAACAAAUUUUGUGCUUGGACUUAUAAGUACAAGGUAAUAGAAGUCUAUUAUAACCAUUUAAUAGCUGAAGAAAUUAACAGUUGCAAGUCUCCCAUAGUGAUUCAACCAGCACAGUAGAAGAAGAAUGGUAUUUUGAUAACAAAGUUGGAUGAGGAAGGUAGUAUAGUAGAGGAAUCUUUUUCUCUUGUAGUUCCUAAGAGGAGACUGUUCAUUAGAGAUUCAACUGGAGGACAAAGUGUUGGUAGAAGAACAGCCAAGAACCAGUAGCAUGAUGUAGAUUGUAGUGACGCACGGGCUUUUAAAGACCAGAAUUUUGAUGUAGUUCAUUUAAGUGGAGAACAAACUGGGGCUAAUUCCUUAGAUUAUAUGUAUUUAAAAAAACAACCGCCAAAUGCGCCUCUGACAGGUGGUGUUUCCGAUUCUAUAGCUGCCGUGCUGACUCAGCACGACUGCAGACGUCUGCAAAAAAUUCAAUGGUGCAGCAGGUAUCAGACGCGACGUGCUGACUGGGCACGUCUGCAGCCGACACAAAUCAGUGGCAGUCUGUUGUGUCAGCCGCAAACGUGCCCAGUCAGCACAUCCACGUCUGACACUUAGAAAAAAAAAUAGUUUUUACGGAGAUUGGUUUUUAGAGUUAGGGUUUAGGAUUUUUGGAUUAGGGGUUCUGCGUUAAUGUUUUAGAGUUAGGUUUUUAGAAUUAGGGUUUUUGCUUUAAGGUUUUAGAGUUAGGGUUUUAGGAUUUUUGCUAUGCAAUAUAAUUGGAUAUAAGUUAUGAAUUAUGUGAUUUUGUGUGUUUCUUUCAAGGCAUACGAAGUUCGUUUUGCAAGUUUAUAAUAAAAAUUGACUAAUUUUAGUAUUUCAAAUUAAGAACACGAGCCAACACUAAUUUUAGAUUUUAAAUUUAAUUACUUUAGUUUUGAGUUGGACUAACUCGUAUAUUUCAUUUGGGCUUACAUUCAUUGUAUUAGAGUCAGGUAGGUAAUUUCUGACUUUUGUGUAUUUUUGUGAAUUAAUUCUGACUUUUCAGGUAUAAUUAGGGGUUUUAGUAAAUUUAUUAAGCUUAGGAUUUUAAUUUAACAACUUUAGAAACUAGAUUGAAUAAUCUUUUGUUUGUAGAUUUGUUAAUCACUUUGGUAGUCUAAUUAGCCUAAAUUUGAGUAGAUUAUUAAUAAAAGGUUAGUAAAAAAAUGAUUUUUUAAGAAUUUGCAUUUGGCCCCUUAGAAUUUUAAAUUUAUAUUUUUACCCAUAAUUUUUUAUUUUUUAUUUUAGCCCCCAUGGAUCUUUGUUGCCCUUAUCAAUAACAUUGUCCUAAACUCUUUAAUCCGUCGUUCAUGUUUGUAACUCUAGUUUAUUAUUUGUUUUACAAUGCUAGUGGGUUUCUUUUUAAUCACAUCUGAUCAAGUAUUUAGGGUUACACUUUUGUAUUUAGGGUUUAAGGUUUAAGUAAUUAGGAUUUAGGAAAAAAUAAAAUUAAACGUAGAUGAAAUUUAAAGUUAAGGAAAGUAACAUUCAUUAGAUAACUACCUAACACAGUCAUUAUUUACACGUGAUCAAUGCUUAGGACGCAUGUUGCCUUUGCUCUUCCCCUUACCCUUACCAACAUUUUGCGGCGUUGUGGAAGGGCAGCAAAAUCUCUUCGGUCGUCGUCUUUGACGCUCGCCAAGAACGACACCAGGAUGAUUGGGCUCGUCAUGAGAUGACGAAUCAUCCUUGGAACCACUAUCAGGGUCAACGUCAUCCGUCUCUAAUGCAUCGGAAGUAUCGCUACUCUCAGAAUUGUUCGUGGAAGGAUAGUUGACAAAAUCUCCUGUCGAUACAUGACCGGAUGCAUAACUCGGCUGGUCGGUAGACGGGAAGACCGAUGGCUGUCCGAGACUGUAAUAAUACGAAAGCUCCAAUGAUGAAGAAGUGCCUCCCGUUCCACUAAGAAAAGUGAAUAUAGGAUGUAAUGCUGUAGGGGAAGAAAAGUUUCCUGUCAUGGGGACAUGCUCAUAUGGAGGUAAUUGUGAUGAAGAAGGAAAUCGUGGAUCAAAUCCAUACAUGUCUGCAACUGGCGUCGGUGGUGUAGCAAAUGGAGAAAAUUGUUGCGACGGUGUUGCUUGUGCACCAAUGGUCAUCGACGCUGGCUGUGGAAUAAACAUGUCCUUAGAUACAUGACGCCUUGCAGCCAUCCCCCGAUCUACUCCCGGCACUGGUGAAGAUUCGAAUGGGGUAAAUUGCUGAACCGGAGGCAUGUGCGGAUGACCAGUAUCUAUUCUGGUGACUUGAACAGCAGGUUCAACAACGGUCGAUCCAUCGUACUGAUCAUGUCUCCUCUGUCUACCGCGACUAGACGAAGGUCCUGUAUGAGAUGGAACUCGUCAGCCAGGUGUCUGGAAUGGGACAUUUGAUGUCGAAAGAUGCCCAAAAUUGAAUGGAUCGGACUGUCCUACAACCAUACGAUCAAAACGUCUGACCUACUGCAUCGAACCAUAUGCACCAUCCAUGAUGGUCCAGAGACGUGGAUGUGCUCUUUCUCCGAUAUCAUCAACAUUAAUAACAUCCUGUGUCUGCUGACCAAUACGCUUCAUAGCACCCAUCUGUAACAAAAAAAUGAUCGCGCAGUUGUUAGGAAUAAUUAUAUAACGCACCUAUGCUAAAAAAAUGGUUCCCAAUGACAGAAGUCUCAAGUAAAUGCAUACCAAAUAUUCAAAUUGCCCAGAGACUCCCUGAAGUAUUUGGCCCAUCUGCGGAUUCUGGUCACUAAGGUUCGAAAUAUAUAGAACAGUGUGCUUGUGAUACCAUUUGAGAUAAUUAUUUGAUGGGUUGAAUGUAUUAGCAAGCUGAUCUGUGACCUCCGCGUUUACGCGAGCAUUCCAAUAUUGUAUCCACGCCCUAAGAAAUUGGGCCCAAUUCCUUCCAGGAUAGCCCGACAAAUCGAGCUGAUGAAGCCCCUUCGGAUUUGUGUUAAUAGGUUCGGGAACUUUUUGAACUAGUUCAAACUGACGCAUUACCCGAUCUGGACAGUGAAACCCAAUAAUGUGCCAAAAUACGAGGGGAACUCUGGCCCGCCAAAUGUGCUUGCCGUGUCUGCAAUAUCGUGGUAAUGCGGCCAAUCUUUCCUCACUAUACGGCAUCCAUAUGAACUGUCAUAACGAAAAAUUAAUUAUUUAUUUUCACAAAGAAUAGGGUAUAUUAGCAUAUAGUAACUGAAGCUUUAACAUGUAAAAUAUCUCAUCCAUGCGUAGCAAUGCAAUAUGCUCACGAUAGUAGCUGCUGCGCCUACCCGGCGGAUCAACCCCUGUACGUUCAGCUGCCCAUCUACCAGCUACCGGAAAUUCACCGGUCUCAAGCACUGGAUACAUCUUCAGUCGAAUGUUGGGAAUCCAUUACCAUGCCCAUAUUUGGAGUAAUAGAUAAGGGCCGCCUGUGGUAGUGGUAGAAGCACGCGAAGCGUGACACAAACGUGAGUAUAAACAAGCUAGAGUCGCUGACCCCCAACUGUACUCCCCCAUCGCUUCCAAAUCUCGAACAUAGUCUAACCAGUUCAGACUAACAACAUUCCAGCAGGAAUCCGUGAAUAGUAGACCACCCAAUAAAAUCAAUAUAUACAUGCGAGUCUACUGUCGUACCAGUUCAUCAGGAGCAUCCGGAGGUACUGGCGUAGUCAACUGUCUGUACAUAGAAGACAUCUUCAGGCAGCCACCUUUUAGCAUCACAUCUUCCGGCCAAAAUCCUAAAACCUCACUCACCAACUGUUUGCGCUCUUAUACAGUUCGCCUAACGUGAUGCAGUGUAACGGGACGCCCGUCCACGCGUAGACCCCAUAGCACCUCUACAUCUUGCAAAGUUAUCGUCGACUCGCUCAUAACUGGAAGAUGGAAGGUAUGCAUCUCCUAUUUCCAGCGCUCAACGAGAGCUGUGAUGAGUCCAUAGUCUACAGUAAGAUAUCCAACCACUCGAUCACCACGAAAUCCUACUUGAUCUAUAUGGUGCGCCACUCGUGGAUCCAAAUUGCGUAGGGGUUGAAAGAAUCUUUUGUCACAUCUUCCUAACAUCAAAGUCUGCACCUACGCCAUUGAAAACUGCGGCGGACCUAUGCUCGAACUGUAGAUACAGAACACUAUCGCCAAUCGGUCCCUGAUGGGCGGCUGCCGAGGAUCCGAUAUGCCAACUCUCCAUUAACCUACACGGACAAAUUUCAAUAAAAUAUUAUUCAUAUAUUUUGGAUUCAGAUUUAUAUGCUAUGGCAUAGUAAGAGAGUUUGGUAACGUCAGGUUAUAAGGCUAAUUUCUCAAAAUAUACGUUAAAAAAAAUCUCCUUGCUGAUAUAUAUAUUUAUAAAUAUAUUUGGAAAUAUAUUUAUUUCAAAAAAAUUAAUAAAAUAUCUUUAUUAAUAAAAGAAGCCAGGUUAUAAACAUGCAAAUUUAGCAUUAUAUAGUUAACAAAGCAUAGGCACAUGUACACAUUUUUUCAAAAUCCAAACAAGAAUACGAAUUAAAAUUAAUAUAUAAUUUGUACAUUUUAUAUAAUAAAAAUUACAAAUCAACGGGGACGGACAACAACAUUUGAUACAUGGACAAUUAGGAGCAGUGUGCCCGGGUUGCAAGCAAUUACUACAACGACGCGAUGCAUCAAUACAUCUUCAGUCUAUCUCAUUCCUGAUUCUACUGGUCUUCAAUGGUCUAGGUGCUUUCUGCUUCAGAUGAUUAGUUAGGAGGCUUAGUCUCAACUCUGCUACGGGCCAAUAUUUCGGAUCUCUUUACGAGUUGAAAGGACUCUCAUAUGUGGCUUGAUAAGCUUCAAAUGUGUACUCCGGCCCGACAAGUGACAUCAGAUUAAGGCCAGACCUAAAACAUGCUGCAAUCGCAUGCGAACAUGGAAAUUUGAGUUCUCUCCAUUUUUCACAUGUACACGUACGGUUUUCAAUGUCAACGGUUUGAGCAUGACCACCUACAUGAGUUUGGCGAUAUGCAGUGGUUAUGCAAUAAUUUCCCCGCCUAUGAUCGAACACCUGCACCGAGUGCGCCCUGCCCUUUUGCUCAUUUGCAACAUAUUUCUUCCAUCCAUACAGUGGCAAGUGAUACAUCUGAUCCCAGGUCAUCUUGUGAUUUUUCACAAACAAAUCCACUCUUUGGUUGAAGGUGUAUCGAAUCAAGGCAGUGAUUGGGAGGAAGCGACUUUCUUGCAGCAAGUUAUUGAAGCACUUGACCAUGUUUGUUAUUGCAUGACCCCAACGAUACCCUCCAUCCUUACAUAAGGCCCACUGCUCCGACCUAACGGAUCCACCAGUUAGCCAGGCAUAUGCCUCGGGUGAAAGACUAAAGAUGACACUCAUAUAUUCCUCAUACUUGCGAGUCUGAUUUGCCUUUCCGGCACCCCAUAUGAGACUCUUUAACCUACAAAUACAAUUCCCGCAUUACUUAAAAAUCAGACCAAACUAGCCAUAUGUAGGAAAGUAAAAAAUAAUUCUUAGGGGUAACUAUAUUUGACUCGUAAAAAAAUUACCUUUCAUUCCUAAAUUUCUGAGUGAAAUUACUGCGAAUGUGAACCAAGCAGAAUCGAUGGACCCCUAACGGCUCUUUCCACUCCUCUAGCCACCGCAUGGUGUGGAUGAUCCCGUGGUGUCGGUCUGAAAUUACGCAUACGUUUUGUACAUCUCGACAUACGUGAAUGCGCAAUAAUCUCAUGAACCAACUCCAAUUUCGAUUAUUCUCCUCAUCAACGAGUGCAAAUGCUAAAGGGAAGAUAUGGUUUCAGGCAUCAAACCCAACCGCUACUAGCAAUUUUUCCUGAUAUGGUCCCUUUAAGAAUGUUUCGUCCAUACAAAUGACUGGUUUCAGGUGAUGGAAUGCUUGGAUAGCAGGAGCAAAUGUCUAAAAUACAUAGUCAAAAAUCGUCUACGAUGAUGUACUCAAUGGAUGAUAGUCCCAAACUACAACCGUCCCAGGGUUGGACAAUUGGAGUUCUUGUACGUAUGUUGGGAGUUGUGAAAUAGAUGUCGGCCAAUCACCAUAAACAAUGUCAAUUGCCCGACGUCUGGCGUACUAAGCCUUUUUGUACGUCACAUCGACGUGAAACUCCUUUUUCACAGAAGUCUGAAUUUCCUUCACUUUGUACAGCGGACCAUUGAUAAUGUAGGGAAUAAUAUGUUGGGCAAUUAGAUCGGCACUCAACCCCCGAUAGUCAUUGGUAUUGCACACACGGACACAUGUAUGCCCAGGUACAAGUGACACGAUCAUCCACAUUUUGUGAGAGGCACGGAGAGUUGCACGAAUUUGCCAAUUGCACGGAGGUGUGGAGUUUCGGGCUCUACAGCGCACAAACCAAGUUGUAGGUGUGCUAGCCCGAACUUUGAACUCUCUGUUCUCUUUUAUAGACCACAAUUUAACUGCUCGCUUUACAUGCCCUUUCGUCUCGAACAGUUGGCCCAACUCCAAUUCUUUCAUGCGCUCACUCCAGAACUUUAGCUUUUCGGCCUCUCGAGUAUCAAGCGGGUCAAAUUGCAGUAUAGCAUCAACUUCUGCUUCAUAUCGCAAAUUGGGACCUUCACUUUCGACAAAAGAUUUGGCAAAUGUCGUCUGAUCCCGUGCUUGGAUAGAAUGAACCGGAUAGACAUCAUCUUGGUCGUCGUCACUACCAGAAUCGUCAUCAUCUGGCUCUGGUUCGGAACCAAUUUCGACAUCAACUAAAUCAAUGUCGGUAUGCGAAAGAGGAUCUAACAUUGAGGAAGUUGGGAUAUCCGCAGCAUGAGCCAUAAUUGUUGACUUAUGCAUACUUGGCCGACUACUGGUGGUUGGACGGUCAAUUUCUCUGCAACGCAUAUUGCCUUUUUGUCGUCCUGUUCGGGACGGGAGAUCAUCGGCCAUCUCUACUUCAGUAAGCUGACUAUGGUGGAGAUUCGUAGUGUCAAAUAAAUGGCAAGGUGGUUCGGCCUGAAUCCCACUUCCAAUUUCAAAAGUUUGACUAUCAUUACCACAAUAAUUCGAUAUCUCCUCAACUUCAAUAUAAAUUUCAGUGGAUUGUCGACUACCAGAUUUUAGGUAGUACAUACCAGCCACUCCAUUAUCACAAGCAUGUAAUAACCAGUAGCAUGUUGGAGAAAUCGAUACACAAUAAGAAGGAAAGAGCUGUCAACAGCCUAUUGAAGAAGAAGGACAUGGAAGAGAUGAUGAAUAUUCUGGAUCAAAAAAUGACAGUGACAGAUUCAGUGGUGAUAUAGAAUAUUAUAGAGAUGAGCCUCUUCUUGAUGAUUUGACAUUGGAGCCAACUCAGUGUCGAAGCACAUUAGAAAAUGUCCAAACUGAAGGACCUUCACAGCAGGGAGGAGUUUCAACAUAGCAGCCUACUACUAAACAGGCUGAAAUACAAGAGUCCCCACAACAACAGCAAGCACAGCAGAAAAAAAACAAGUAAGGCGACGAAGAAAAACACAACAGUAGCAGCAAAUCCAAGAUUCUACACCUGACGUAGAUGCGUUGGCAGAAAAUACAAUCCCAGAUCAUUUAAGUAAUGAUGCUGAUUCAUCAGAGAAAGAUCAAGAAGCUGAGUAGUAUGCUAGUAGGUAUAAAGAUUUUUCUUGGAAAAAAUUUAGAAUUGAUACAAGGUUCGAGUUGGGUUUGAAAUUUGAGUCAAGAGUCCAAUUCAAAGUUGCUAUCCAAGAAUAUUGAAUUAAGAUGGGAAAGCUAGAGUACACAAAGAAAAAUGAACCAAAGAUGGUGAGAACCAGGUGUAAAGAUCCAUGUCCAUGGUUUGUGUUUGCCUCAGUUGAAAAGGCACUUGGCACAGUAAAUUUGGUGGUGAAGACAAUGUAUGAAAAGCAUGAAAACUGCAAUCAUGCUUGGAAAAAUAAAACUUUGAAGGCCAAUUGGUUGUCAAAUAGAUAUAUGGAGAGAAUUAGAUCAAACACUCACAUGCCAACUCAGGAAAUUAGGCAAACAGUGCAUGAGUACCAAAUUCAAAUUUCUAAAUGGGUGGCUUCUAAUGCGAGGAAAAUGGCUCUCAAAAUGAUACAGGAGUCUGCUAAAGCAUAGUACAAGAAAAUUUGGGAAUAUUGUGCUGAAAUAAAAAAGAAACAUGAAGGGAGUACAAUACAGGUAAUGUUUACUCCAUUUAGAGGACCAAGGGGUAAUCCUAAAUUCAUGAGGUUAUACUGCUGUUUAGGACAACUGAAGAAGGGAUUCAAGAAUGGCUGUAGGCCAAUAAUAGGCCUGGAUGGUUGCCAUCUAAAGGGGAUUUAUAGAGGACAGUUACUAACUGCCAUUGCUGCAGACCCGAAUAAUGGAUGGUGGCCCAUUACUUGGGCAGUUGUGGAGAGAGAAGCAACUGAGUAAUGGGCUUGGUUUCUCAAAUAUCUAAAUGAGGACUUGGAAAUCAAAAAUCGGUGCCACUAUACCUUUAUAUCAGAUUAGCAAAAGAUAUGAUAUUAACAAUAUAUGAAACUUUCAAAGUCAAAAUUCCUUUCAAAUAUGGUAGAAGCUAAUAGCCUGUCAUGAUUCUAUUAUAGGAGUUAGACAGGGCACUUACUGAAGUUUUGCCUAGAUGUGAGCACAAGUAUUUUUGCUGUCCUUUCAAACAUAUAUAUUUUUAUCAAGUUUUCUUUUGCAUUAUAACUUUUCAACUAUUUAAUAACAACUAAAAUGAGUUUGUGAGGACAGGUACUGCGUCCAACAUAUGUGCCGCAAUUUCAAAAAAAAACAUCCUGGUUUGGCUCUUAAAGACAGGUUAUGGAAUAUAGCAUGUUACAGAACAGUGGAAAUGUACAACAGAGCUAUGGAUGAACUUCAAACUUUUGAUAAGGAAGCAUAUGAAUGGGUCAAGAAAGCGCCUCAUCCUCGGCAUUGGUGCAAGGCAUACUUUCCAACUCACGUCAAGAGUGAUAUGAUAGUGAACAACUUAUUCGAGUCCUUCAAUGCUCAUAUUAAAGAUGCAAGGGACCAACCUAUCAUCAAAAUUUUGGAACUGAUAAGGGAAUAUCUUAUGGACAGGAUCCAAAGAAGACGAGCUGCAAUGGAGAAAUACAAGGGCUCCACUGGACCUUUAAUUAAUGAAAUUGUUGAGACUAAGGUCAAGCAUUCAAGUCAGUGGAUGCCCAUUUGGAAUGCACUGCAUGGCUAUCAAGGCAAGGGUACAAGAGGGGCCCAAUUUGUAGUAGAUAUGAAAAAAAAUUAUUGCACUUGCAGAUGAUGGGAGGUUAGUAGAAUUCCUUGCUGUCAUGCAAUUGCUACUAUCUUGAUGCGAGAAGAGGAUCCUUACAAUUAUCUGGAUCGUUGUUAUAGCAGAGGCCUCUUCUUCAAGAUUUAUGAGAAUAUUUUGCAGCCAAUUAGUGGCGAGGAUCAUUGGCCCUCAUCCACCAUGCCUGUGUUGAAUCCACCAAUAUCAGUUACUCAACCUGGUAGGCCUAAAAAGGCCAGGAGAAGGGAUGUGACUGAGGGGAGAGAUCAUGGUAGAAGGUUGAGAAGGAGGAUUGUCAUUCAUUGUAGAAAAUGUGAUGGGGUAGGCCAUAACGCAACUACAUGCAAGAAGCCUCCCAAUGAAGAAAAUCAACAAGGUUCUAACAGGUCAUCCGAGACUCAACCUAGUAAUCAGCAAAGGCAGCAACCAGCAGAAAAAAGGAGGAUAGUAAGUGCAUUAAAUCUGUUAAUUUUUCACUAUUCUCCAUCUGUCAUGUACUUACACAUAUCUGUUGAAAGUCUCAUACGAAUCAUGAACCAAGCCAGUUUUCUUAAAAUUUGCAACAACAAACUCAACAAGCUAACGAUGAAACUGGGCAGCAACAUCCACAAUAGGCCCAACAACAUCAUCAUUCACAGCAAAGAAAAAACUCGGCUGCAAAGCCGCUUACUGAUGCAGAAAAAGGAGCCAUCAAUGCUAACUAUGCUUAUUUGGGUAAAGAACCCCUAUUCACAGUUGGGAACUGGAAGGGAAAUGGAGUAGAAGAGGCAAGGGCAGAGGAAGACAAGUUGAAAGAGAAAUGGGAAAAGGAACAGCCACUAGAAGAGGAAUUCAGCCAUGAUAGACUAAACUUUUGUCAAAACUCUUAUUGUCUUAUGCUGUGUAAACUAAUGGUGACAAUUCAUUACCAUAUCAGAACAUAUUUUUGUGUCUAGUAGUUCUUCUUUAUUAUUAUUUUUUUUGUCUAGUAGUUCCUUGUUGGUAAAAUGCUGAUUCUGCUUUGUAUUAUAGCCAACUUUUGAUGCUCAUAAAUGUAGAGAAAUUCCUAAUUUUAUGAUGAAAUUUAAAAUUUUUAUAACUUGGUUUUGAAUCCAUGGUAAGAUUUCAUAGCUUGUGUCUAGUUACUUCAUAAAUGUACUACGCAAGUGAUUAAUAUAUUUGAUACAACAUGGCUUUAUCUGCUCCUUAUUGCACCAUUAUUAUGACUUUUUUCAAAGCACAAUACAAAACAAUUCAUUGAGUCGAAUAAAUAAACUACAACAUUUUCAUUUAAUAAAAAGAGACAACCAGAUAUUUCAUUGGGACAAACACAAACACAGAUUUGAUUACAAGCUUUGCGGAUACAUCAUACAACUAUAAAUAAAAAAUUUACAUUAAAAGGAACAAUUUAGAUCAUCUUCUUCCCCUGCAAACUUCAACUUGGUAAGGGCCAGGUGUUUGCAAGCGCCUUCUAUUUGCCAAAAACUGACAAGGUUUCCAUUUUUUUGGCCCCAACUCAUCAAAAUUAAAAAAAUCAAUAUCCAUGUUAAAAAAAGCAAUUUCACCAGCAACUUAUUAACCCAUUUCUUGCAGCGAAUUUCUUUCUCCAGUUCUUUAACUUUUUCCUUCAAUUUUGUUACCUUUCUUUCAUUUUUUCCUGCUAUUUCUUCAUAUUCAUCUCUAUCCUUUUCAAUUGCAUUAAUAUUUCGAAGAAGGCCAGGUAUAAUUUCUGUAGACCGUCAGCACAUCUCCUCAUCGAUCCAUGCCCAAUAUCCAUAGCAACUUUCUGCACACACAGCAAACCUUCGUCCAGGAUUUUUUGCAGUCAAUGAAGUAAUCACCCUAGUCUCUUUCUCACAUAUGCACACCAGUAGAGGGGAACUGUUCAUUCUUCGUAUUUUCAGCUCCAACUUUGACUGGAUGGAGAUUUUUCUUGCUCUAACAUAAGCUAAGGGAAGAAGCUACCUUUUUACUCUCUCAUUACUUGGUAAACCAUCCUUUAGAGACUAUAAUACUCUUGAUAUUUGGUCGCGCAUCUCACGAGAUAAUGCUCCCGUCAAUUUUAACUGCUGGGUUUGACAGAAGGGCCACGAAUAUGCUAUUUUUUUAGAUCAAGGGCCAAAACUUUAUCGUUAAUUGUUCUCAAGCAAUUCACACAUAAUCAAUUAUAAUGAUUCUAGAGGUGAAAUAAUAUAUGCAUUUUUUUUGUCAAAUUUAAUUCCUCAUGACUUGGAAAACAAUCAUUAUGCAAUUGUUCAAAUUACACUAAAUACUCAAAAUAUCAAGUAAAGGAAAGAUAAUUAUACCCUAAUUUUAACAAGUUAAACUUAAUCUCUCACCCUAACAUAAUUUCACAAAUAAGCAAAUCACAUAGUCAAUUUAUAGCCUUCCUCCUCCUAUAAUCAUCUUUUUCUCAAAAUUUUGCAACUAAGAGAGAUUUAUUUACACUAAUUUUACUUAAAUAGUAAGAAUGUCUUUUUAUACGAAAAUCGACACUUUUAGGUGAAGAUUUCCGGUUACUCAACAUUUUGUUUAUUUAAAUUGCUAUGCAUACUCGUAAUUUAAGUAAUUUUUUACGCGAAAGUCGGCAUUUGUAGAUGCCAACACCCAGUUAUUCGAUACAAGAAUCAUUGGAGUAGAAGAAAAACUCUUAUUAUCUUUUUUUUUCUUUUCUCAUUUUUUUUUCUUUUUUGUAAGACAAUAAAUAAAUUUUCCCUCAUAGAAAAUAUAUAAGAAUAAUCAAAGGAGGAGUAUAACCUUUAUCGACUAUAUCAAUCACUUACUUGAAAAAUUAAGUAAAGAGAAGAAAUCUCAUUAAACAUGUAAAAUUAUAGGCAUAAUUUUCCUCACUUUAUCGGAUAUACUUUCUAAAAUGCAAAAAUGCUAAUUGCUUACUAAUCAUUUCCAAGUUAAAUGAGGAUUAAAUCUUCUAAAAUAUAUAUAAAGUUUUCAAAAGUGAAAGAAUUAGACACUUAAAGUUGGAACAAUUUAGGCCUUUUGAAUAAAAAUGCAAAAAUUUGAAGAACUUUUGGGCCAUAAUGAAAUAUUGAAAAAGAUUUUAGAAAAAAUUUGACAAAAUUUUUUCUUAUAAAUGGACAAAAUUUCUUGCCAACAUACCCAAUUUCAAGCAAAUUAUCCAUAUGGCAAGAUUUCUAUGCACAAUUCUAACAUUUCUAAUCAUUUAAAGUCACAAAAUAUCAUCACAUAGCAUUAAAGUGCAAGUUCAAAUAUCCCCCACACUUAAACUUCACAUUGUCCUCAAUGUGAGAAAGGAGAAAUAACAAAAGUAAGAGAAAGUAAUACUUCUCUAAUGAACUUGCGCGAUCUGAAUCCAUGGCAAUGUGAUGAAUUUCCAACUUUACUUGAGAAAGAAUGGAGAGUUCAAUUAAUGCAUGGAGAGUUCAAUUAAUGCACCUUGAAAAAGACAAAAAUAAAACUUCUUAAGAAUAAAAGCUUGCAACCAACAAGAAGAAAAGUGGAGUUGAAGGAGGAAAAAGAGGGAAGAAUGAGGAAAAGUGGUCUGAGGCUUCGUUUUGGAAAGGAUCCGAGGUCGGAUCAUGAUAAGUGAGUUCGGAUCAAAAGGCUCGAAUUUUUUUUUAUUGCAGAAAUUUCUGCAAUUUUCAAUUUGACCCCAAUUUGAAACACACUCUUCAAUUCGUGCUCUACAAUGAAAUUUUUAGCAAUUCAACACUUCACACACAUGGAAAAUGACUUAAACAUGAAUCUUAACAUCUCAAAACAAAUCAAAAACAUGUAAAAUGCAAAUUGAGGGUUGAGAUUCUUGGAUCAAAUAGUCCCCUUGACACUUCCAAUGCACAUGGUGGUGCUCAAACGGUAUAAAGAGUGCAAAUAGGUCAUGAACACAUUUAAACACUUGAAUCCACUUUAACUUCAUGCAAAUGACUAACUUAAUCUCAUAACAUGAAAUUAAGCAUUGUAAACUCAAAAGUAAAGGUUAAACUUCCCUUUUUCACAUCGGUCUCCACUCCUUAUAAACUCCUUUGCACUUGAAAUACUUCACGUGACUUCUUGUCCUUGCUACCAAAGGAGACGCAAUGAGGAUAUCUUGGGCAUUAAUACCUUUAGAACCUAUACUUUCAAUACACUCCUCAAGAGGGGUGAAAAAUGAGUCAUUAAAACUCAUCUUUUGAGGUUCAAGAUUAGUUCCAAAGAUAUUAUCAUAUGAAAUGGAUAUUUGCUCAUUGAAACGUAAUUGAGAUUCAUCAUUUUCAUCAAAAUGCAAUCCAUUUUCAAAUAAACACAUUCCCACCAUUCAUGUUAGGAUCAUUUUGUAAAUUAUUAGAAGAAAUAACUUCGCACAAUGCAUUCAAUUGCUCAUGUAUUCUACCAAAGUGAGAAGCCAAUUCAUCUAUUCUUUUCUCAAUCCUAUCAAAACGGUCGGAAGUUACAUUAGCUAACUUUUCUAUGGCUAAAUCAAAGUGAUUAGAAGAAUUUUCUAUAGCUAGCUCCCAAGAGGUAUUAGAAUAAUUAGCUAAUGGUUCACUUUCUAAUUCCCAAUGUAGAGGUGCAUUAACUAACUUCUCUAUUGCCAACUUCCAAGAUGGUUUUGAUUCAUAUUGGACACUUUUAGGUUGGUAAUCAUAAAAAUUUGGAGAAUCACUAUAUGCACAUUGAUUAUCCUAACCAUACACAUGAGAAUUGCUCCAAUUAGCACUGUAUUGAUUAAAAUAAGGAUUGUAAUACUCUAAUUCAUCAUAAUAAUCAACAUUUUGUGCUUGCAUGCAUGUACUAGUAGCAUGAUAACCUCCACACAAGUCACAAAUCACAUGAUAAUAAUUAAAAGUAUUAACAUUCCUCUUUUGCUCAAUUUCAUGCAUGAUUGUAUCCAUUUGAACUUGUAGCAUCAUAACAUCAAAUUUAGCCUUUAAGCACUUUAAACCAUAUUCAAAAGGCAUACAUUCAGUGAAUUCUUGGUUACCUCUGUUGAAGGAGUUUUGUACUUGGUAACCAUCCAUUGCCAAUCUUCCACUUCUCAAGUAUUGUCCUCCAAAUUGAUCUAUCCUCCUCAUCACCUAAAAUUGUUUUUAAACAACUUAAAAGUAAGAUUAGUAAGAAGAAUAGGUGAUAAAACACAUACACAUAUAAAACACUAAAAUUAUAGAAAAUAACAUUCACACUAUAACUAAUAAAAUGUCUAAACUAAUAAAGCUGCUCUUCACACCGAUAUUGCCAAAUCUUCCCCGGUAGCGGUGCCAAAAACUUGACGUGCGUGGGUAUAUAUACACAAUUAGCUCAUUCAUAAUCAAGUUUUACAUUUAUAAACUCCUAAACACCACACACGUGAUUUAUCGCAAGUAUACGAAUCGUGAGCGAGUAUAGGGUAUUAAGAGUCGAUCCCACAAGGAAAAUUGCAAUUACCGACACUACUAAAGCUUCUCUAUUAUUUAGACUAUCAAUGAAUUAUAAUAAAUAAAACCUAUAGAACUUAUACAAGAAAAUAACAAAUGGAAGCUCCUUGGGUUGUGGUAUCCCUAACUACUCAUGCAAGUGUGACUUUUGGAUCAUUGAGUACUACUAUCUAGGGUAGUUAUGGUGUAAUUUUCUUAUGUAUUUGAAUCAUACUUUCGUAAUGAAUCAAUUAUACUCAUAACUAAUCCAUACCUAUUCUCAUAGUUAUGAAAUUAGCUACAAGUUCAUUGCUUCAAUAAAAUUAAAUAAAAUUAAUCACCAAAACCACAUAGGUGCACCUCUACUCUCGUGAGUGUACUACCUGUGUUUAGCACCUCUUGAACCAGUGUUGAAUCUCAAUUUUUAUUGCAGAAACAAUACCUUAGAUAAUCAAGAUUAAUGGUACCAGAUUAAUCAUGAUUUAAAGAGCUAAAGUGCUAAAUAACUUCAAAUACUAGCAAUCAAAUAGCCAAAUAAUAAAUACUAACAAUCAUAGAAAGUUCAACCAAACCCAAGGUAUAAACUUUAAAGAUGCAUCAUAAACACAAAAUCCAGAACUUGUAUAUUAACUAAACUUAGAAUCAAGUACAAAAGAUAAAGAGUUGGAAAGAAAAGUAACCCUUGUCACAUGAGCUCUUUCAUUGCCUUCUUCAUCUCCAUCUUCAUCUUUGCCUAGCUAAUAAACAAGUAGGAUGAACUAUACUACUCUAUACCCAACUACUAAACUAAUUGAAUUAAGAAAAAAACUAGUGAGAACUAUAUUUUUGUGGAGUUUCUCUAGCCUCCCAAAGUUAUGAAAAUGUUCUUCAAGACUUACAUUUAUAGAGGAAUUUCUUGUAAUGGACAAGUGUUUAAUAAUGUAUUGAGCCCAUAACCAAGCUAAAAUGGAGUUGUAAAGCUUCUUUUGCAGCUGUCUUGGGCUGUUUCCACCGAUAAUCUUGCAUGAAAGGUUGGUCAAAAAGCUUGUGUGAACAGAACACAAGUUGGUAAGCCGAAAGUAGUGAUCCGAGGGCUAGAUCCGAGCUCUGAUCGCUCAAAUUACCCCUCAGAUUGCAUUUUUCUUCAUUUUUUACCUUCACUGUUCAUUGGGAUCUGAGGCCUGCUACAGUGGAUCUGAGCUCGGUCUCGGAUCCACUUGUCCAGAAGAUCAGACGAGGGCUCGGAUCAUAUUGGAUCCGGGUACGGAUCGCUUGCUCUGUUUUUUAUCCACUUCAACUGAUAUUUUUUCGAUGUUAGAGGCUGAACUAGCUCUUAUGUAAAACAUGAAAGUUGUAGCUCUUUGAGUUAGUUUUCCAAUGCAUCAAGAAUCACCUAAUUUUGAGCUCCGCGGACUGAUAAAUGACCAAAUUACCCUUGACUGGUCAGAAAUUUGUUUCAGCUUCAACCAUAGAAAAUGUACUUCAGUAUUUCGACCUUUUGACUAUGAAAACCACCGAAAUGGACUUCAAUAUUUUCAUACCAAAUGUAGAUCUAUCUCUUGGCUUCAAAAUGGUAUAAAAAUCAUCUCAAUCUGAUCAUUUUCACUCAAGAUAUUGCCAAAAUACCACAAGGUGUCAAAGCUGUGAAACUCCAUUUCUUUAGAACUUGAUUGCAUUUCAUCUCUUGCACUUUAUAUUCUUUUUUUAUCACUUAAAACAUCAUCAAUCAUCCAAUUCUCUUCUCAAUUUAUGUCAUUUGAUGAUUGAAUCAUUAAACCUACAAAAACAUGAAGUUUUCACCAUAAAAAUCCAUAAAAAUGUAAUUUUUAACACUUAAACCCCUAAAUGCAUAUUUUCACUAGAAUCUUAGUUAAUUAACUAUAAAACUAAUUAAAACACACCAAAACUAACUAAUAAAACACACUAAAAACAUGUAAAUUAUGCACUUAUCACUUAUCUUUGUAUUAAUUCAUUGAAUUUGUGGUUUUAAAUUUUCCAUCAUGUUGAGCUAAAUUUACGUCUAGGGUUAAGGUAUUUAUAAAGGGAUUUGACUAAUUUUUCAAGGCUAAUUUCUUGACUUUUACUAUGAUUUGUCUAUCUCAAUUUUUAUUACAUAUUUAUACCUGAUUAACAUGAAUAUGAUCUUUGAGUUGUAUUAAGUUGAGAAGUGACAUAUAGCUAUGCACUAGAUAGAUGAACAUGCUUGCAAGAGUAGGUUAGGGUUCGUGUGACUCCAUUAAAUCACCUAUGUUCUUAAAGGAUUUAAUUAAAUUCUUAUCAUCUCGAGAAAGACAUGAGAUUUAUUAGACACACUUUAGAUAUAUCAAUAAACAAUCUAAAAUACCUUAGCAUGAGGUGUUCAUAGCCAAUCAAGAAAAUAACUAGUUAAAUUAACUUAAAUUUUGGAUUAAAACUUAAAACCCUAGGUUCUCAACUGUUGUUUUCUCAACCACUAUUUUAUUUGAUUUAUUUCCUUUUCUUGCCACUUACUGAAAAGUUUAAUCACUUAAAUUUAAAUCUUGUUAUUUGCUAAGAUUUGUUAAAUAACUGAAGUAGAGAAUUAACUCAUUUCUAUGGGUUUGACCCCUGAAUUACUCUAGGUGAUUUUUAUUACUAUGAUGAACCCUAUACACUUGUAGGAAAUUUUCGAUCAAAAAUGUCAUUUUCAAAGCAAUUUUUACUUAUCCUCACUAUAGUUCCUCCUAUUUCAAAAAAAAGUACUAAUAAAUAACUAAUGACUAUAUAAAAUUAUCAUCAAAACAAGAGCUGAUCAAUAAUUAAAUAUAUGUGAUUCGAUUUUUUUCAUUUAUUGUGAAGUUAAGAACAUUCUUAUGUACCCCAGCUAUUUAAACAAGAUAUGAAGAUCACUAGAUGGAUACCUAAUUCAUUUUCUUAUGUGAUGUUAACAUGUAUCGAUAUAGUAUUUAAGUAUAAAAUUGGCAAAUAACAUCACAAUCUUUCUACUAGCACAAAAUAAUAUGUUAAAUUUAACUAAAUCAGGGUACAAUGAUCUAACACUUAAAACAAGAAGAUACAUUAUACCUAGUGGAUAAACUAUAUCAAAUUUAGAUAGUUUAGCAUAAUCUACAUAAAAAAACUCAUAACAAGUUAAUCAUAAAGGAUAUUGAACCAUAUAAAUACUUUUGAAGAAUAAGACCUCCCCAUUUCUUUUUCAAGUCAUGAACUCAUUUAAAAAAUAAUGGGAGUUAUCACAAUCAGGCACUCAUAUGUCCAAUCAACUCAAAUCAUAUUUUUAUAGGAAAAAAGUCCCAAUGGUCCUUUAACUCUUUCCCAAGUAAAGUUUUAACCCUCCAACAAUUAAUAGUGAAGGUUUGGCCCUCGAUCUAAUAAAAUAACAUAUUUGUGGCCCUUCUGUCAAACCCAACAGUUAAAUGUGACGGGAAGCAUCAUCUCGUGAGACGCGUGAUCAAAUAUCAAGGGCAUUAUAGUCUCUAAAUAAAGACAGAGUAAAAAAAACUUUCACCACUCAUUUUCCCUCCAACAAUUUCCUCCCCUUUUGCUCCGAAACCCUAGUGUGAAAAAAUCAAACUACUCAAUCUAGAUGCUGCACCGAAAGUGCUAAUUGCCGUCAUGGGAGGGGUUGUAAAGGCAUAAUGGAGUGGCAAAUACGGAGGAGAGAUGACUACCUUGAUCCGUACCUUGUUUAUGGUAAUUGAAAUUCUUGUUUACUAAUCCAUUUGGGUUUAAGAUUGUUUAUAUGCAUGUGUAAUGGAACUUAUUUGUUUAUAUGUUUGGGUAAUGGUGAUGUCGGGAGGCUAAGUGGUCCAAUUUGUGGUCCUACUUUGUUUGUUGUAAAUUGACAAUGUCGGACAAAGGGGGUUGUUUUGAAAGUGAUGUAUUUUAAUGGCCAAAAAGGGACACUUUAUUUCUUUAGGAUCUUUUUUUUUUUUGCUGAAUUUAACCAAUUCAGUAUUUCAUCUGUCAGGCUCUAUGUGUUUUUUUGUUAUGUUGUUGACUGUUUUAUCCCAAUUGCCAUUGUAGAGACUGAUUCUGAAUGGUUUACUAUUCGGAUGCAUCAUAGAGUAAGAAUUAUAUGGGAACAGUAUGUAUGGUAUGCUAAUGAAGAGGUGGACUAUGUAGAUGUUUGUGAUGCCGAAAGAAUGUCAACCAUUGAACUAAAUAAAAUGGUGGAGAAAAUGGGACAUCAUAAAGUUGCCAUAAUGUACUACUACCUUGAACCAAAUAAGCAUCUAACAAAUGGUUUAAGAGAGUUGUGCACCGAUGAUGACGUUAACAAAUUUUGUGCUUGGACUUAUAAGUACAAGGUAAUGGAAGUCCAUUGUAACCAUCUAAUAGCUGAAGAAAUUAACAGUUGCAAGUCUCCCAUAGUGAUUGAACCAGCACAGCAGAAGAAGAGUGGUGUUUUGAUAACAGAGUUGGAUGAGGAGGGUAGUAUAGUAGAGGAAUCUUUUUCUCUUGUAGUUCCUAAGAGGAGGUUGUUCAUUAGAGAUUCAACUGGAGGACAAAGUGGUGGUAGAAGAACAGCCAAGAACCAGCAGUACGAUGUAGAUUGUAGUGACGCACGGGCUUUUAAAAAUCAGAAUUUUGAUGUAGUUGGUUUAAGUGGAGAACAAACUGAUGAUGCACAAGCAUCUAAUCAUGAGCAGCAACAUGUAGGUUCCUUAAGUGAAGGACAAAGUGGUGAUGCACAAGCAUCUAAUAAUAAGCAACAGCAUGUAGGUUCUUCAAUUGGAGAACAAAGUGGUGAUGCACAAGCAUGUAAUAACCAGUAGCAUGUUGGAGAAACUGAUACACAACAAGAGGGAAGGAGCUGUCAACAGCCUAUUGAAGAAGAAGGACAUGGAAGAGAUGAUGAAUAUUCUGGAUCAAAAAAUGACUGUGAUAGAUUCAGUGGUGAUGUAGAAUAUUAUAGAGAUAAGCCUCUCUUGAUGAUUUGACAUUGGAGCCAACUCAGUGUCGAAACACAUUAGAAGAGGUGCAAACUGAAGGACCUUCACAGCAGGGAGGAGUUUCAACUCAGUAGCCUACUACUAAAUAGGCUGAAAUACAAGAGUCCCCACAACAACAGCAAGCACAACAGAAAAAAAAAAAAUAAGGCGAAGAAGAAAAACACAACAGUAGCAGCAAACCCAAGAUUCUACACCUGAAGUAGAUGCGUUGGCAGAAAAUACAAUCCCAGAUCAUCUAAGUAGUGAUGCUGAUUCAUCAUAGGAAGAUCCAGAGAGUAGUAUGCUGGUAAGUAUAAAGGAUUUUCCUGGAAAAAAUUUAGAAUUGAUACAAGGUUCGAGUUGGGUUUGAAAUUUGAGUCAAGAGUCCAAUUCAAAGUUGCUAUCCAAGAAUAUGGAAUUAAGAUGGGAAAGCUAGUGUACACAAAGAAGAAUGAACCAAAGAUGGUAAGAGCCAGGUGUAAAGAUCCAUGUCCAUGGUUUGUGUUUGCCUCAGUUGAAAAGGCACUUGGCACAGCAGAUUUGGUGGUGAAGACAAUGCAUGAAAAGCAUGAAAACUGCAAUCAUGCUUGGAAAAAUAAAACUUUGAAGGCCAAUUGGUUGUCAAAUAGAUAUAUGGAGAGAAUUAGAUCAAACACUCACAUGCCAACUCGGGAGAUUAGGCAAACAGUGCAUGAGUACCAAACUCAAAUUUCUAAAUGGGUGGUUUCUAAUGCGAGGAAAAUGGCUCUCAAAAUGAUACAGGGGUCUAUUGAAGCAUAGUACAAGAAAAUUUGGGAGUAUUGUGCUGAGAUAAAGAAGACACAUGAACGGAGUAGGUAAUGUUUACUCCAUUUAGAGGACCAGGGGGUAAUCCUAAAUUCAUGAGGUUAUACUGCUGUUUAGGACCACUGAAGAAGGGAUUCAAGGAUGGCUAUAGACCAAUAAUAGGCCUGGAUGGUUGCCAUCUAAAGGGGAUUUAUAGAGGACAGUUACUAACUGCCAUUGCUGCAGACCCGAAUAAUGGAUGGUGGCCCAUUGCUUGGGCAAUUGUGGAGAGAGAAGCAACUGAACAGUCGGCUUGGUUUCUCAAAUAUCUAAGUGAGGACUUGGAAAUAAAAAAUUAGUGCCACUAUACCUUUAUAUCAUAUUAGCAAAAGGUAUGAUAUUAACAACAUAUGAAACUUUCAAAGUCAAAAUUCCUUUCAAAUAUGGUAGAAGCUAACAGCCUAUCAUGAUUCUAUUAUAGGAGCUAGACAGGGCACUUACUGAAGUUUUGCCUGGAUGUGAGCACAAGUAUUUUUGUUAUCCUUUCAAUCAUAUACAUUUUUAUCAAGUUUUGUUUUGCAUUAUAACUUUUCAACUAUUUAAUAACAACUAAAAUGACUUUGUGAGGACAGGUACUGUGUCCAACAUAUGUACCGCAAUUUCAAGAAAAAGCAUCCUGGUUUGGCUCUUAAAGACAAGUUGUGGAAUAUAGCAUGUUGCGCAAUAGUGGAAAUGUACAACAAAGCUAUGGAUGAACUUCAAACUUUUGAUAAGGAAGCAUAUGAAUGGGUCAAGAAAGCUCCUCAUCCUCGGCAUUGGUGUAAGGCAUACUUUCCAACUCAUGUCAAGAGUGAUAUGAUAGUGAACAACUUAUGCGAGUCCUUCAAUGCUCUUAUUAAAGAUACAAGGGACCAACCUAUCAUCACAAUGUUGGAACUCAUAAGGGAAUAUCUUAUGGACAGGAUCCAAAGAAGACGAGCUGCAAUGGAGAAAUACAAGGGCUCCACUGGACCUUUAAUUAAUGAAAUUGUUGAGACUAGGGUCAAGCAUUCAAGUCAGUGGAUGCCCAUGUGGAAUGCACUGCAUGGCUAUCAAGUCAAGGGUCCAAGAGGGGCCCAAUUUGUAGUAGAUAUGAAAAAAAAUUAUUGUACUUGCAGAUUAUGGGAGGUUAGUAGAAUUUCAUGUUGUCAUGCAAUUGCUACUAUCUUGAUGCGAGAAGAGGAUCCUUACAAUUAUCUGGAUCGUUGUUAUAGCAGAGGCCUCUUCUUCAAGAUUUAUGAGAAUAUUUUGCAGCCAAUUAGUGGCGAGGAUCAUUGGCCCUCAUCCACCAUGCCUGUGUUGGAUCCACCAAUAUCAGUUACUCAACCUGGUAGGCCUAAAAAGGCCAGGAGAAGUGAUGUGAUUGAGGGGAGAGAUCAUGGUAGAAGGUUGAGAAGGAGGAUUGUCAUUCAUUGUACAAAAUGUGAUGAGGUUGGCCAUAACGCAGCUACAUGCAAGAAGCCUCCCAAUGAAGAAAAUCAACAAGGUUCUAACAGGUCAUCCGAGGCUCAACCUAAUAAUCACCAAAGGCAGCAACCAGCAGAAAAAGGGAGGAUAGUAAGUGCAUUAAAUUUGUUAAUUUUUCACUAUUCUCCAUCUGGCUUGUACUUACACAUAUCUGUUGAAAGUCUCAUACGAAUCAUGAACCAAGCCAGUUUUCUUAAAAUAUGCAACAACAAACUCAACAAGCUAACGAUGAAACUGGGCAGCAACAUCCACAACAGGCCCAACAACAUCAUCAUUCACAGCGAAGAAAAAACUCAGCUGCAAAGCCGCUUACUGAUGCAGAAAAAGGAGCCAUCAAUGCUAACUAUGCUUAUUUGGGUAAAGAACCCCCAUUCACAGUUAGGAACUGGAGGGGAAAUGGAGUAGAAGAGGCAGGGGCAGAGGAAGACAAGUUGAAAGAGGAAUGGGAAAAGGAACAGCCACUAGAAGAGGAAUUCAGCCAUGAUAGACCAAACUUUUGUCAAAUCUCUUAUUGUUUUAUGUUGUGUAAACUGAUGGUGACAAUUCAUUACCAUAUCAGAACAUGUUUUUGUGUCUAGUAGUUCUUUUUUAUUAUUAUUUUUUUUUUGUCUAGUAGUUCCUUGUUGGUAAAAUGCUGAUUCUGCUUUGUAUUAUAGCCAACUUUUGAUGCUCAUAAAUGUAGAGAAAUUCCUAAUUUUAUGAUGAAAUUUAAAAUUUUUAUAACUUGGUUUUGAAUCCAUGGGAAGAUUUCAUAACUUGUGUCUAGUUACUUCAUAAAUGUACUACGCAAGUGAUUAAUAUAUUUGAUACAACAUGGCUUUAUCUGCUCCUUCUUAUUGCACCAUUAUUAUAACUUUUUUCAAAGCACAAUACAAAACAAUUCAUUGAGUCGAAUAAAUAAACUACAGCACUUUCAUUUAAUAAAAAGAGACAACCGGAUAUUUCAUUGGGACAAACACAAACAUAGAUUUGAUUACAAACUUUGCAGAUACAUCAUACAACUAUAAAUAAAAAAUUUACAUUAAAAGGAACAAUUUGGAUCAUCUUUUUUCCCUGCAAACUUCAACUUGGUAAGGGCCAAGUGUUUGCAAGCGCCUUCUAUUUGCCAAAAACUACCAAGGUUUCCAUUUUUUUGGCCCCAACUCAUCAAAAUUAAAAAAAAUCAAUAUCCAUGUUAAAAAAAAGCAAUUUCACCAGCAACUUAUUAACCUAUUUCUUGCUGCGAAUUUCUUUCUCCAGUUCUUUAACUUUUUCUUUCAAUUUUGUUACCUUUCUUUCAUUUCUUCCUGCUAUUUCUUCAUAUUCAUCUCUGUCUUUUUCAGUUGCAUUAAUCUUUCGAAGAAGGCCAGGUAUAAUUUCUAUAGACCGUCGGCACAUCUCCUCAUCGAUCCAUGCCCAAUAUCCAUAACAACCUUCUACGCACACAGCAAACCUUCAUCCAGGAUUUUUUGAAGUCAAUGAAGUAAUCACCCUAGUCUCUUUCUCACAUAUGCACACCGGUAGAGAGGAACUGUUCAUUCUUCUCAUUUUCAGCUCCAACUUUGACUGGAUGGAGAUUUUGCUUGCUCUAACAUAAACUAAGGGAAGAAGCUACCUUUUUACUCUCUCUUUGCUUGGUAAACCAUCCUUUAGAGACUAUAAUACCCUUGAUAUUUGGUCGCGCGUCUCACGAGAUGAUGCUCCCGUCAAUUUUAACUGUUGGGUUCGACAGAAGGGCCACGAAUAUGCUAUUUUGUUAGAUCGAGGGUCAAAACUUUAUCGUUAAUUGUUGGAGGGCUAAACUUUACCUGCAAAAGGGUUGGAGGACCAUAGGGACUUUUUUCCCAUUUUUAUACAUAGAAAAUUGUAUACAUAGAACAUCAAAAUAAUUAAUCAUUCUAAAAUCAUGUGUACUAUUCUCAAAGAAAAUGUAAAUUAGAAUGUAUAGUACAACUAAGCAUGUAAUCAAUUCAACUUGUAGCAUCAAGAUGUGAAGAAAAUAAUAUAGUUUGAGUUUUUGAGAUCAUACGCCAUUGUUGACACAUUUUCUUUUAGCUUAAGAGACUUAUCGCCUUUUGUAACCCAAAAUGAAUCCUAUCAUUACUUUAGCUUCUUGCUUAUUUCAUUCUUUUCUAUCCUUUCAUACUUUUGGUUUCAAGUAGCAUAUUAUGACAUCCAUUAAGUUUUAUUUGGGUCAAAUUCCCAUAGUAUACUUAAACAAGAGAAAUUAUUUUGGUAUUCAUUUCUUUUUGAGUCUGAGAGGAAUAAGUGGUAUCUCUCAAUAUCCAAUUGACAUUCAUUAGCAUUUCUUUUCACAUAACAAUCAUCUUUCAUAUGGCCAUAUUGACAACAAUAAUUAUACACAACAUCAUCAUUUUUAACAUGAGAAGUUUUCAUAAAGAAAAUACCAUCCUCUCUAAAAAAAUAGCAAAAUUUUUGUUAACAAUUGUGUUCCCAAUAUUUUUCUUAUCUAAAAUAUCUUAUUUCUCCUUUUGAAGAAAUUCACUAAGAUCAUCCACUCUUUUGCUCAACAAGAUUUGUUCUUCCUCGUCAUUGCAUAAACUUUUAUCUAAUCAUCCAACUUUUCUUUUCGAAUCUUCAUCUUUAUAUGAAAACCCAAAUUCAUUUUGCUUUAAAUCAUCAUUUUCUUUUCUCAACCUUUGGUUUUCUUGAAAAAGUUUGGAAAUUUCAUUCAACAAAGUAUUUAUUUUAAUUUUCAAUUCCUUCUUCUUAGCAUAAAAUUCUUUCAAACUAUCAUCCAAUUUAAUUAUAAAUGUCUCAUCAUCAUCAUUUUCAUCAUGAGAGGAGUUAUUAGAAAAUACCUUUUUAUCUCCAAUGGCAAUGAAUAUUAUGUGAACAAUUUCACCUUUUUCUUCAACUUCAUCAUCCUAGUUGCAAUCAAUCCAAGUAAUUCAAAAGUUGAAGUUUUGCCCUUUAUCUCCUCUUGUUUCUUUCUUUAGUGCUUCAUUUGAUCACAUUCAUAGCAUUUAUCUCCUUACCUCUUGUUGUUACUUGAUCCUCUUCUUCUAAAUCUUCUCUUAUUGUUGUAGAUCUUCUUGAUGGUUUUGGUCAUAAAAGUUAUAUAAUUUUUAUCAAACUCCAGAUCAUCACUAUCAAAAUGAGAGUAAAUCAUUUUUUUGCUUGAAAGGUUUUAAGUACAAUGCUCCUCAUAAGUCUAGUUUCCUCUUAAUCUUGCAUUUUUUAUUUUAGUUUCAACUAAUAAGAGAUUAGUAAAUUGACAAGAAAUUCAAUUGGCAUGGAAUUCAAAAUUUUUGCCUCUUCAAUAACCGUGGCCUUAGUUUCCCAAUCUUUAGGCAAAGUAUUCAGAAUUUUUCUAUUUCUUUCAUUCAAAGAAUAUUCUUUACCAAACACUUCAUUAUUAAAAUAUUUUUAAUAAUGUCAUUGAAUCUAUAAUACAUCUUAUCAAUAUUUUCAUGAAAUUCCAUUUUGAAAUUUUCAUAUUUAACAACUUGUGAAGAUUUCUUUUGUUCUCUAAUAGUAUCACUACCCUCAUGAAUUUCUCUUAAUUUAUCCCAAAUCUCUUUAGCCAAUUCUAUGUAUCGAUUACACGUGGCACUGCUACAUUAAAUCCAUACAUACAUCCGAUCUGCCAACAUUGUUACAUGUUUCGAUGAAGUGGGCUAUGUGUUGCUUUAGGUUCCCUUUUCCAUUGAACUGUUGGAUCUUAGUGAUAGCCAACAGAAGAUUGUCAAUCUUGGUGGUAUAAGGUUUGGAAUAAGUGAAACUUGACUUCGAGCCACUUUCUUUCUUGGCUUUGAUCCUGUCUUCAACCAAGUCUUUUAAUUGUUCUAUAGAAAUUGCUUCUUUGGUGGUCACGUGCACUUUUUUCACUUUGUUUUUUCCUUUGGAUGAUGAAGUCUCAAAUUCUUGUUGUUCCUUAAAGUUCAUGCAACUUCUUUCAGGGAUGUUGUCUUUCUUGUUGAGGAGCUAAGUGAUGAAAACAUCUUGGUCCUUGAUAUGUUUCAUCAUUGUUUCCAUCAUCUUGUAUAUGUUUGUCACUUGCUCUUCCAAAUUUGAAGUGUUUGUCAUCAUGAGAGGCAUCAUAGAAGAAAUAGCAGAGGUAGUAGAACAUUCAACAGAAAGCUUCAAUUGUGGAGUUCCAUGGGAGGAUAUCGAUGCAAUACUUGACAGGUCAUCAUCAUUACUUCAAAGAUUUAGAUCCAGAGCCAAUCUCAAGCAUUGCAAGAGUCUUCUCUAUUGAAACCAAAAAAUCCUUGAGACCCAAUGUGGGUGAAAGAUUUUUGGUGAUAUUGAACCGAAGAUAUGAGUUGAUGGAGAGGGAGUCUCCAGGCUACUUUGAGGGAGAGCUCUUGUCAUAUUCCUUGUUAUUGGUUCAACAAUACAAGGAUUUGUAGUAACAUAUACAAGCUCAUUAGCAAAUUUGGCAUCAAAAGCCUUGGAGCGAGUAGCCAUGGAUUUUUCAUUCUUUGGGGCUAUUGAUUGAUAUAUGCAAUCAAAUAUAUGAAGAGAAGAGAUGGAAGGUAGAAAUGGUCCACCGGUUAUGCCAAAAAUUUGUACGCGAUAAAAUUUUAAAUCCACAAGAAAAUUACAAAAAAAAAAUAUGCAACAAAUAUAAGUUAUAUGAAUUUAGAAAAGAUAUGAGUCACAAUUUUUCAGGAUUUUCUCAAUAUUGUAGAGAGUUUCAUUCAAUUCUUUUCUUGAAACAUUAAUCCAAGGGCUUUGCAACUUGCUCUUGGAUCAACGGUUGACUUCUUUAAAUCUUGAUAUGGAAGACUUCAAGAACUUGAUGAACACGAUGAAGACUUCAAACCUUGAUAUGAUGAAAAUAUGAAGAUUCAAGUCUCGAUAUGAAGAGGACUUGAAGAACUUGAAGAUGCAAAGCUUUCACAGCCUUGGAUCUUCAAGAAGAUAAGAGACAUGUGUCUUGUGUCUUUGGUGCAGAGACCCCUAUUUAUAGCUAUAGGAUGGCGUAGAACCCGAAAACAUAUACACCACCUUACUAGUCUUCCAAGACAUACGGUCAUAUAAAAACUACACCACCUUGAAUAUUAUCCCUUUAUUUUGUAUUUAUUAAUAAAGAAAUAAUGAUGAUAAGUAUUUUCUUAAUUUGCCAAGAUUGUAGAGACAUACAACGUGGCACAAUUAAACUAGACGAACCAUUGUAGUAAAUAGGACAUAUAUAAGGAUUAAAUAACUCUAAUAUUAUCUCUUAAACAAAGAAAUAUAUAUUUUAGAUAUUUAUCCAUAAUUUGCUAAAUUAUAGGGAUCUAUGACAUAACACAAUUUUGUUGGUGAAGACAUCUUAGUAUUUUUAAUUGGUCGGGACAUCUCAACUUGGCAUGUGGAGGGAUAUAAUUGUCCAAAUUUUCAAGUGUGUAUGACAUGUGGUAAUAUUCAAUUGAAUAAAAAUAAGUCAUGAAAAAUAAUUUAUAGACUAAUUAAAUAUUAAAGUAAUUAAAAUUUCGUUAUCUACAAUAUCUUCUAUGGAAGUAAAUCUAAAUAAAAGAAGUUACCUUCCCUUAAAAGAACCCGAAUUUGUGGGUGUUAAUGUAACUGAACAUAAUCUCGUAAAAUAUCAAUACUAAGAUGAUGAUAAUUAGCUAGAUAACUCAAUAGGUAAAGCCAAACCUUGUUAUGUGUUGUUGGAUGUUAGAAAAUUGAUGGGCCGCAACAAGGCCCUGCUACGCAACCCGAAGUUGGUUGGAUAUAAAGGAAACACUUAAAGGUACUUCCCUGCAAACAAUUAAAGGUAUUUCUCUGCAUUCAUUCGAAUUAUCGCUACCAUAUUCUGUUCACUAUUUUUAGACCAUCCUAAAUGACAAAAUCUACCGGCGUGUGCAAUUAAAAAAUGAAGGGACCACCAUGAAGUAACAGUUAUUCAAUAUCUAAACUACUUAAAGCCGCGAAGCCUGAUGAACAGUUGAUUGUGCCGGUUUCGCUGUGGUUUUGCAGCUCAUUUUGUCCUUUUUAGUCUUUUCGCGGGCUUCAUGUAGCGCCCUUGCUUCUUUUUCCAACAUUUUCAUGUAGCGCCCUUGCUUCUGCUUCCGCUUGUCCUCGUUGUUUUUUUUGUUGCUUUGUUCCCAUUCUGCCCUUUCCCCUGGUUCGUCUGUAAUUUUGUCCCCAAUUUUGUCCUUUUGUUUCUCCUGGAUUUUCUGCUGUUGCCUGACUUUACUCACAAAUGUUAGCUUUUCUCCCCAAUUUCAUCCUUUUCUUUCUCCUCCAUUUUCUUUCUUCAAACUAUAAUUCUCUCUUCUCUUUUAUAUUUAUUAUGAUAUUCAUUAAUCAAUAAAUUAAUUACUCAAAAUAUAUAUAUUAACAAACAUAUUGAUUUUGUAAAAAAAUAUGCCUCGAGUCACCUUAUUGUAAUUUAAAUUUCUGUAACACAUAAGCUCAUGUACUAUUCGUUGACUUUGAAUAAGAUAUUCAUUAAUUAAUAAAUAAACUACUUCAUGAUUAGAUAAAUAUAAUGAGCUAGCAAGCAUUAAUAAUUUUUCACAUCAAUGAUCUAAUAGACUCUUUAAAAUUGUGUUUUUUCUCCAUAACACAGAAGCUCAUGUACUAUUCAUUGAUUUUGAGUAACAUAUUCAUUAAUCAAUAAAUAAAUGACUUCAUGAUUACAUAGAUAUUAAUGAGCUAACAACCAUGAUUAAUUUUUCAUAUCAAUGAGCUAAUAGACUCUUUAAAAUUGUGUUCGCUACAAGGAAUGCAGAUAACAGAAGGUUGGCCGACAUUUGCACAUAAAUAUUUCUUGCAUGAAGGAAGUGUCGUGUUGUUUACCCUGCUCAACAAAAACAAUUAUUCUAUCAACCUCUUUGACAGAGAUUUCAUCCAGCAAUCCUGAUCAACAAAUGUUCAUUACAGCUUAUUGGACAUAACAGUUAUAUUCCCCUAAAUUAUCCAGCAUUUAUGUAAUGAAAUAAAAAAUUUACCACCAAAUAUGAAAUUCCUCUCAUUACACAACUUCACAAAAUUUUACCAUUACCGCCCACUCUAAAUAUUUGCAAUAAUAACCACACAUAUAUAAACAAAAAAACAGAUAAUAUAAACAGCAUCAAACAAUCAUAACAUACAUUUUCUCGCCCAAAAUAUAUAUAUAUAUAAAAAAUUCAUUUUCUCAAAAAUAUAUAUAUCAACAAAAACUUCACACACAUCCAAUAAAUAUAAAUCAACUAUACCAAUCUAUCUUUAACUUCCAUUCAUUUCACCAACCAUUUUCUAAAAAUAUCCAAUAAUUUCUUUCUAUUCAAAAAAAAGUUAUAAUUAAUUCUAUACCCUUUAUAUAUAAUUUAUCUUCCACAAUAUAUCUAUUAACAAAAUAUUUAUUCUCUAAAAACACAACUUUAAUUCUAUAAUACAAACACAGACUUAUUUUCGCUACAAAAACAUAUAAAUAUAUUUUUAUAUCCUUUUUAUUACCCAUUUUAUAUAUCUCCACUUUUUCCAAAAUAUAUUUUACUCCAACCAAUUAUUUUUCACAAUAUAACAUAAUUUCUCUCUAUUUCAAAAAUACUCCUUAAAUAAUAUUAGUUAAUAACUGAAUUAUUAACUUAAAGUUCUUCCAUUUUUAAAUUAAAUAACAUAACACAAAUGCAACUACCAUAAAACACUUAUCAACAAAAAAUCCAUAGCUAUUUAAUAAAUACAAAUUAAUUAUACCACUUUCCAUUACCUUCCAUUAACUAUAUUCCAAAAAUAUUACUUCAAUAAUAUUUCAAAAACUAAAAAAUUCAAAAAUAUACAACCAAAAACCAAAAUUUAAAAAAAAAUUUCUCUAAAAUCAUAACCUACAUUAUCAUUAAACAAUCAACAAUGGACACCCCGCGAAACUCACGGGGCACCAGGCCUAGUAUUAUGAUAACAUGAAUAAGUAGUAAUAAGAUAGUAGAUUCUGAAGAGUGAAUUGCGUGAAAAGAAAAGUUUCAAAGGUACCACUAUGAUGUAGCAGUAAUUGAAGAAGUUAGAAAAGUGGAAAAAUGAGAAUUAUUGAUGGAGAAUGAAAAAGACACUGGGAAUUAGAAAAUAGGUUGAAAGUAAAAGGAGCUCCUAAGGAGAUAUGCUCUCACAAUGGGAGAAAAAGCCGGUCAUUUACGAAUCACCUCAAUAUUUCCAUAUCUAAUUUGUGUGAAAUAUAGUAACAUGUUAAUCAAUAAUUAAAAAUCCAAUAGUGACAUCCACCAAAUCUUUAUUUUUUUCAGGGCAAUCGAAUAUUUAUUUCAUGUAAAAAUUAGGCUGUGCGAGUCCUUAUCAGCAGAAAUAGAGCUGUAGGCACAUCAAAGUAGAGCUGGACAACAGAAGACUGGUGAAAACCAUAAUGGAUUCAAGACAUAACAAUUGGCGGGUUGCUACUCUUAUAGAAGACAUUCAGUCCAUUUGUAAUUUGUUUCAUCAGUGCUCUUUCUCUUUUGCUAAUUCUGGGAAAGUAGAUAAUAUUAAACUGAGCAUGCAUGCUCUUAACAUUUGGUUAGAUAAAGAAUGGGUUAAUCUCACUCUUAAAUAAUAAUGCAUCAUUGACAUAUGUAGGACUACUGUCCUUUUGAUUGAACCUUUAUCCAUUUACUGUAAAAAAUUGAAUAUGAAAUAUAAAGCUAUCGUUUCGACCAAAAAAAAAAAAGAGUUCUCAUGAGCAAGGUAUACUAGUCCAACUUGUUAAACCCCCAACUACCAGCCCAAAACUCAUUCGUCCAAAUUUUUAAGAAUACUUGUACAUAAGCCAUUCAUUACCUACUACUUCCAAGGGCGAAGCCGGAGGACAUUCAAUAAGCUAUCGCACAUAAGACCACAAGAAGUCGAUGGGUUUGAGACAAUUUCGGCAUUACACUCGAUAACAAGUUCACCAACAUUGCUCAAGUAGUAGAUUUCACUGUUAAAGCGGUACAUUUUAUUGAUAUACAAGCGGGAGAACAUGGAGACAACUUUUACCGUAUCCCUAAUAAAAAAAUAUAAGACCGCUGGAGAGGCGGCUAACAUUUACUCUGAUGUUAGAAUACAAAAAAUUGAAGAUGUACUUGAGAUCAAUAUUGAGUGAAAAGGAAUCGCAAAACCUAGCUAUUGAGUACAACAAUGCUUGAGAAAAAUCUGAAGCUUUCA